GUGUGUGUGUGUGUGCGCGCGCGCGCGCUCACACACACGCAUGUUAAUGUGCAGCUCCCUGCUCAGUGGGCGCCGUGUCGGUUCUCUGUCUUCCGUGAGUGUUCCAGUUGUGGCUUUGUGGUAUUGAAAUGAAUGAAAUCAUGCAAUCUGAAGUUACUGCAGAAACCUCCGGUCUCCUCUGUCUCUCAGCUCAUCUUCCCCUGGGGAGAGAAGGUUUUAACCCAGAGAGCCUUGAUGUACUUUAAACAGCACUGAGGUUUGUUUUCCUUAAACUCGGUCUGAUUUCUUGAACGCUUGAAGUCUGUGCGGGGCCUUCCAACGUACCUCCUUUCUUCUGCGGCGGUUUGUCUUGUCUUUAACGAACGUGGAAAGGAACUUCAAGCGGCCUUGUUCUAGCCAGUCGUCAACGAACAGAGUGAGGAUUUUGGUAGCUUGCUCCCGCCUGUCGGUGCACAGAAAACUGCCUCCCCUCCCCCACCCAGCCUGCUGGAGCCAGGCAGGAAGGGGCUGUCAUCAUGCUCCUGACUGAGCCCUAUUCCUUUAUUUUUCUUCUUAGAAAGUUACACUAGGAAAGAUGUUCUUGAUGUGGGAUUAUUAUUCUUAGAGGGAUUCUUGAGCUUUUCUCUGACUGCUCGGCUACAGCCUCACCGCUCCUAAGGCAGACAGACCCUCCACAAACUUUAUGUUGAAUGAAUGCGGGAGAGCUGCAAGUCGGGAAGGUUGAAUUCCCUCAUUUCUUGGAAAAUCUAUGAAUUAAUUUCCUCUAUAAAUUUCCCGCAGCCCCGGCUCUGAUCCACCAGCUCAAGAACCAGGCCCAUUAUGAAUUUCACAGGAUGAUUUCUCAUUUCAGGAGCUCCCUGGAGGGGAGAGAAUGGAAGGGUUAGGCAGGGUGAGAGUUCACUUGCUGCCUUGGACUGUUGCACACAUUGGACUAAAAUAUAAAAGCAGCACUAAUAAUACCAACAAUGGUGCUAAUGAGGAGACCAGACAAUUCUGAGUUCAAGCUCAAGCCUUUUCCCAAGUCACUGAGAUCUGAGUGUACUCAAUUUCAUGUUCAUUGCCUCGAGCUGGUAGAGUGGCUGUGUUUAUAGACACUAGUUGCCACUUACCCUUCCACACCUGAGCUUCCACGUUUGCGUUGACUCUUUUUUGAGUUGGCUGACUUACAUUAGUGUGAGUGAGCUCUAUGAACAUUCACACAAAACUUCAAAAUGAUCAUGGAAAAAUUAAGAAAUAAGUUUAUUUUGGUGCAAAACAUUCGAAACCCUUGCAUAAUUAUUUCAUAGUAUGCAUUUCCAUGAACUUUUUGAAGACCACUCAUAUAUUAUGUGGGUAUAUGCACAUAUGUAGUAUCUUCCUGUGUUUCUAUGAUUUAGCCAUCCUGUUCUUGUCAUCUCUUGGAGAGAUGGUUUAUUCCAGAGUAUAUGGAUAAUUUAUUGUGCCUGUCCUACUGAUAUCCAGACAUGUAAUAUCUUCUGAUUUUUAAAAACCUGAUGUUGGCAAAUAUCAAUUCUUAUUCUUCUCUAAUGUUUUUUUCCCUGUUAUUUUAAAAAGUGGAAGGCAAAGAAAAUUCAGGAUGGUUGUGUAAGAGAGAAUAUAUUUAGUAUGGCUGGUUUAUAUUAAUGAAUUAUUGGGUAUAUAGGUCCAUUAUUGGGGCUGGGAGAGGGAGAGCAGGAGACCCCCUCCCACAUACACACGCACAAAUACACAUGCACAAGCAGACACACACACACACACAUACACACAUAAAAUGGCUGUUUGUUCAGCACCAUGAUCCUGAACCCAUUCAUUGGAGAUGACCGCUUACCCGAGCCAGCCCAGGCGCAGCCCCCGUCAGUCAUAGCUGCAGCUUGACUUCCCUCCCUGGCUGGUAAUCAGAUGCUGGGAAAUUCUGCUGGCCGGACUCAGCUUUCUGCCUGAACCAAGGAGCAGGGAUACUCUGACCUGGGAGAGAGUUCGGGAAGAAAAACGGAUGAUCCCUCAUCACCCCUCAACCCCCCUUCCUAAGCCCCUUCUCCACACAGAUCCAAUAGCACCCAGGAGAACCCACCUACCAUGUUCAAUGGGCUCCAGCAUUCAGGGCAACUUUCCUACAAAUCUCUUUUUAUUGGCAUUUCCUCCAAUUUAACCAGCCCUGAAUUGCAUUUGAAUCAGUUGAGAGAAAGAGAGGGAAGGAGUAGGGAAGAGGUUCCCCCCCACCCUCUUGGAAAGCAGCUCACAACCAGCUUUAUUUGGUAAAACGCUGCAAUAGAUGCUUGUCAGAAAUAAUUUAUUCCUGUUAGCUGUAAUCUGAAGGAAAACAGAUACAAGUCCUAUAGUUAAAAAAAAAAGUAAAGUAGUGUUGCUUUCGCUGACAGUACAAAGGUGUCAUAUACAAGAAGGAUUGACACAGACCAAGGGGUCUUGUGGGAAAUAUGAUAAUAACUAUAAAGAAGACAGAUUAUUCCCCAGUUGCCAACAUUCAAACCUUUUUACAGUCAGUUCAAACAUAUAAAACUUUAUUGCUCUAGCAGAAAGGGGAACAAUUUCUGGUUGCACAGCUUUCCCAGGGCUGGGUUUAUACUGUCUGUGUUAUUGCUCUAUAGUGGCAUUUUAAAGUUUAUUGAACAAGACUUUUACAAUUGAAGGAAGUAUAUAAAACUGUAAAUUUAUUAGAUUUUUCAGGAUAAGUGCCCUUUCUAGUUGUGCUCAAGAAUUCGGAGCUACGAGAAACUGCUAGUUACAGGACUUAUUAAUAUUAAAGACUGAGAGUGUGCACAUUUUAUACCUUAACUGAUCUCAAAAAUAAUAUUAUUAUAUUACUGUACGUCAGAGCUCGGAUACUUGGAAUUGGAUGGAUACACACAUAUAGGAUUCUAGGCACCAGAUGUGUUUAUAUUUCACUGGUAAAAAGUUAGCUUUUGUCAUAUCUUACUUUAUUUGAUUGUAACACAACCGAUCAGGACACUCCUCUCUUCAUUGAAGGGUAUCUUGGGGUAAAUUUUUUUUUUUCCUGAAACCCUGGCUGGUUUUCCUACAUUUCUCAGUGUAUGGGUAUGAUGCCAAUACAGGUGAUAAGUUUUAAGAGUCCAUUUUAUGACGAAGUAAGAUAUUAUAGCAACUAUAAUUUUGAUCAUCAAAAUCCUAGUAAAAAGAGUCCUUUUCCCCUCCCCUUCUCAUUUUUCAUUUUCUCACAACUUUUUGGACAUGUGACUGGGAUGAAACUGUGAUGCUCAUGACCGUCUGUACUAGGGUUUCUGACCCUUCACCGUGUGGGCUUUUUGGGGCCAGAUAAUUAUUUUUGAGGGACUGCUAUGUGCACCGUAAGACGUUUAGCUGCAUUCCUGAAUUCUACCCAUAGAUGCCAGUGGUACCCUCUUCCUGUACUGUGGCAAUCAUAAAGGUUUCUAGACGUUGCCAAAUGCCCACCUUGGGAGGGGGGACAAAGUCAUGCCCAGGGUGAGCCACUCUCCAUGACAGCAGUGUCAUGUCUGGAAACAGUGCAGUCCACUGUAAAUAAAUACUACAGGUUGUGUUUGAAAAAUUGCUUAAGGGGCCAGCGCAGUGGCACAGCUGGUUAAGCUGCUGCCUUCAGUGCCAGCAUCCCAUAUGGACGGUGGUUUGAGUCCCUGCUGCUCCACUUCCAAUCCAGCUCUCUGCUAUGGCCUGGGAAAGCAGUGGAAGAUGGCCCAAGUCUUGGGCCCCUAUACCCACAUGGGAGACCCGGAGGAGGCUCCUGGCUUCAGAUGGGCACAGCUCCAGCCAUUGCGGCCAACUGGGGGAGUGAACCAGCGGAUGGAAGACCUCUUUCUCUCUCUCUCUCUGCCUCUCCUGCUCUCUGUGUCACUCUGACUUUCAAGUAAAUAAACACAUCUUUAAAAAAAAAUGUUUAAAAGCCCUAUUAUUACCAAGCAAGAUAGGUUAUAGAAUUGUUUACUUUCAGAAUUAUCUGGCAUAUACUUCUUUUAAUCAAAGAUCUAUUCCAAAGACUUUCAUAUAGCUCAGUCUUUACAGUUUUAUGUUAUGUGGUACAUUUCAUGACCAUAUUUCUGUAUAAAAGGAGCUUCCUUGUUUACUUAAUUCUAAAGGUAUAUAUUUAUGAGUGUAGCUUUAUGAAGCUGGGUUUCAUAUCUUUUUUAUGUUAUCUUGUGGUUGACCAUGGAUAUGCGUGUGCCUUUUUGCUUUUUCACAUGCAUAUGCAGAAAUACAUUUAUGUGUACACAUUAUGUGACUAACAUGGAGAAGGAAUUGAGAAGCCCAGAGAUGGUUUUUAUUACAAUUCUCUCAUUUGACAAGUUUCAUGUUAAUGUAUUAUCAAUACUAUCAACUUGUCUUUAAUUUUCGAGUUGUAGUCUAGAAAUUUUUAACCUCUUGAGAAAGUUUCAGUAGCAAAUACACAAAACAUUCAAGGAAGUUGAUUAUAGCACCUGUUCACUUUCAUGCCACCAGUUGUUAUGCAAAUACCUGUGUGUGUGUGAAUAGCACUUUGAUCUGGAAUUCAGUGCUAAUUUGUCUAAUGGCCAUAGCAUUUACUGAAAUAAUUAAGCUAAUAUGUUUUCAAAAGAGAUUAAAUUAUAAUAGGCCUUUGGUUUUUGACUGCCUAAGGUUUGUAAUCUAUCCUUUCAUAUAUAAAGUAAUUCUAGGCACUUGAAAUUUUAAUAAUUUUAAUAAUCUAGGCAUAUAUUUAUGUGCCUAUUUGUGAAACUGGAUUUCAUAUCCCUUUUCAAAAUUUUUAUUUAUUUGUUCAUUUCAAAGGCAGAGGAAUAGAGACAGGGAAUCAAAGAGAGAAAGGGAUCUUCCGUGCUCUGGUUCACAACCUAGAAGGCCACAACGGCCUGAAUCCAGGAGCCUGGAACUCCAUGCAGGUCUCUCAGAUGGGUGCCAGGGGCUCAAGAACUAGGUCCAUCAUCUCCUGCCCUCCCAGGUUCAUUAGCAGUGAGCUGGAUUGGAAGUGGAGCAGCCAGGACUUGAAUCAACCCUCCGAUACAGGAUGCCGGUGUUUCAAGCAGCAGCCUAGCUACACCGCAGCGUCAGCCCCUCAUAUUCCUUUUAUAUUAUCUUAUGAUUAAAGGUUUGAUUACAGGGUUGAUAAUUAAGGGGAUGAUUCCUAAGGGGUAUCUUGAAAGGAAAGUGCCUUAGUUCUGUUAUUUAGUGGGGCCGGCACUCUUUUCUGCCCCGUGCCUCUGAUGGCUGUGUAAUAUUAACCAUAUGACCAUUUGUCUUUUCUCCUCUUUUACCAUCUUUGUGGGUCAUUUGGCUCCUAACCUGUAGGCAUAUAAAAGAGUUUUCUUUUGUGGAGAUGAAUGACAUCCUUCUAAGUAUUCUGUAUCUCCAUAUAUUGACUGAAUGUCUCUCUGAUUCGUUGGAGCUAAGUUUUAUGGUUGGAAAGGAAAGCAUUUCCUGCUGGUGGGUUUGGCAAUGGACCUUAGAGAGAUUCUUUUAGUAAGUUGUAAGAUCCAUUCACAAUCACUCCUUUAGUUGUGCCUGGUUCCUUCACCUUCCUUGAGUUUUCAAACAACUAAUAUCCAUAUCAGUGUGUUAUUCAUGUUGGAGAGCUGUGUCCCACAUGGAUUCAUGGAGUCUGCACACUUAGCCUCCUUUCUUUGAAUGUGGGCCAUUGGAGGGCGUGCUCAGCCCCUGUUGGUGAACUGCCAUCCCUACAAAUUAUAGCUUUAAUGCUGUACAGGGCUAAAUAAUACAGUCUCUGAUUUAAAUAAUAAAGAGAACUAGGAUUUAAACAUACUGAGACAGGCACAAGCAACCUCAAACCCACUCACAGCAAAGGGUGGGAAAUCUUAAUCAAGCCUUGUUAAGUACCACUUCCAGGUACCACACAGGAGGCAGCAGGAAUAUUAUCUUAGAGAAAACAACCCAACCAAACAAAAGAAGGCCCUAAACAAAACAAGAAACCCACCCCAGUCCAAAUUCCCAGGAAAGAUUCAGUUUCUGUGUUCAUCUUGAGUCAGUGGACUAUCCCAGCAAGUUUGCCACAUGCAGCAGUGAGCAAAAGGACCCGUGGACUUUGAGAGGCUGACUGGACAUGAGCAGGAGCAACAAGAAGCAGCCUGUGUGAGGGAAGUCAGUAAGUCCUGAAUCUUUUAUGCGACCUUGGAUAUUCUGAUCACAGCUCCGCUGACACCAAGAUUGGAAUACAGAUUAUGGGAGGGAGUGUCCAUGACAAGAAGCCCAGGCUUAAAUCUUUCCAAGGUUUUAACAGGCUUUGCCAUAUGAAUAUUUUGUUAUUUUCUAUGGCUUGUCCCCACAGGAUGCCAGGAAAGAUAUCAUUGACUAAACCAGGGCUACAGUGUAUCUAGAGAUAGGAGAGAUGAAAAUGUGGCUAAUGAGACUAGCCCCAUUGUGGAGUGUGUGUGUGUGUGUGUGUGUGAGAGAGAGAGAGAGAGAGAGAGAGGGAGAGGGAGGGAGAGGGAGAGAGGAAGAGGGAGAAACCUAAAUGCCCUGUGCUCCUGUGCUCCUGCCUCAUCUGAGGCCCUGAUGCUAAAGCCACUGGAGCUGUUUAUGAAUUCACUGCAGCUUCAUAGUAAGAGGAAGGAAAGAGAAUAGGAAGAUACCCCCCCCCCCCCACUGAAUGAAUUUAUGCCUAACAGCUUUUCUUGGAAAUGCAAAUGGGUUUCACAGUCUCCACACUGUGACACAUUUGGGGGGAAAAAGGCAAAGAAGAAGAAAUGCAGGAAAACCCUGGAGACCAAGGGACAGUAGGGGGAUGUGACGGUGAGGGUCUGCUGCUCCCAGAGCAAGACGCCCUAUGUCCUACUAAAAUGUCGCUGGAGACAGGAAAGAGGUUUCUGGGUGUUAGGCCUUAAGGUGGUUUGAUUUCGAACUCACUUGGAGAUCCCAGUGAGGACUGUGAACCAAGCAUUCCUUAGGUUGCAUCAUCUUGAUUUGAGACAUUGCUUUAAGAUAACGGCGUCGGGCACCAGGGAGCCAUAGGCACCUUAGGGUCUGGACCAAGGUCCGCAGAGUGCUGGACAGCAGGCAGCUUUGCCAGGGCAUGGCAUGCUAUGGAGCUGAUGGCUUGGACCUGGCUUUUCCAGUUGUGUCCAUGACUGGUAGGUUAUACUAUCUCGUAAGCUGCUUGCCUGUCAGUGAGAAUGCACAGACUGCCCCUCAGCCUGGUGAUGCACACCACAGGAUUAGAAGGCUGGAUGACUAAGUGACCGUUGGAGUCCUGUUAAAGCAGAGAUCAGAACCCCAGGUUCCUGGUGGCAGCCUUUUCUUUCUCCAGAGGAGGUGGACUGAUAGAGUGAAUAAGGGGCACAGAUGAGGAUCAGGGGAUAGUCAUUCAUUAAUUGAGAAAUAUUUAUCAGGUGACUAUAUUGUGUGUCGGGAGCAAGACUAAGUGUUUUUUUUUUUUUAAACAUAUACAAUCUUCACUACAAAUCCAUGGCACAGGCACUGUGAGUAUCCUCAUUUUUGAUAUGGGGAAGCUGAGACUGAAGAACUAACUGAGGCAUAGUUAGGAAUAGGUUUUGAAUCCAGGGAUUUCCGAAGUACUUGGCCUUGAACACCCAUCUGGGCAGGUUUGGGCUGAAUCUGUUCCAUCAUUUCAUUUAGUGCUGACUGUAUGCAGGUACUGUGCUAGGUGCUGAGGGUACAGACUGCAGGGAGACAGUCCUUCAGGUGCUCAAAGUCAUGGGGACAUCCAAGCAAAUCAACAAUGGCAUUUGCCAUGUUGUCACAGAUGCUCUGAGAAGACUGGACACAGCCCUGAUGGGACCUGCCAGCCCUCAGUGAAAGCAAUGCAGCAGAGACAGGAUGCCUGCAGACCACCCAGCUUCUGACGGUCACCUUGUCAUCAUCUACGGCCCUCAAAUUUCCGCCUGCCUCUGUUGUGCGGCAUUGGCAAGUCAGCCUUCUUUGUGGACCAAAUGGGAGGCAGGGUCCUUGGAGAAAUAGGCCCAGCUUCUUAUUUCAGGAAAUCCUCCAGUCUUGUGAGCCUGAAAUUGUAGAAGAACAAAGCUGGGUCCAUUGAAACAGAAAGAAUAAGAAAAACAAAAAUAGAAAAAGGCAAACACUUUGAAUAAGCGACUGCUGAGCCGCCUCCGAAGUUGGGGGGGGGGUUCUCAUGUUUCCAGGACAUUUUCAGAUUCUGAUGGCAAUUAGGAAAAGGAUUGCUGUAGCCUUGAAGCUUUGUCAGGGGGUGGACCACCCACGGCAGAGCCUCUCGCACAGAUCUGCUGGCCAGUCUCUUGAUAAUACUGCAAGGCAGCCUAAGCGGUGUUUUGUUGGAAGAGUGGAAGAGCUAAGGCAGGUGUUGAAAAGCCAUGAAAAAAAAAAAAAGAAUUAAAACAAAAAUAUGCCUCCGGCUCUAUUCAGUUGGCAGCAGAAUUGCCAUCCCUUUUCCCUUUUGAAGUUGAUGUUAUUGCAGGAGCAUUACCACAGUCCCAAUUUCGCUUCAUAGCGAAAUAGCCUAAGUCAUCUCAUGCCAGGGUGCUCCGUCCAUCCUGUGGGUUGGGUCCCAGUAGAUCUCCGGAGGACUGGGUGGAGAUGGAGUGGGUGUCUGAGCUGCUCACAGGCCCCCAGAGGCUGCUGAGAAAGGGUUCUCCCUGGAUCAGAGGGUGCUGAGGGCCCAGGAGACCCUGAAAGUACAUGGAUACAGCUGUGAGCGCAACACUUGGGUGUGAAUCCUAGAAGAGUUUUGAGAAGUAAAUGAGCACAUUUCUAUAAAGGGUUUAGAUCAGUGUCUGGUACACCCACCAGUGCUCAAUAAAUAUUAUCUAUUGUGGUUGUUUCUUCCUGGACAAAGCCAUAGCAUCUUUCCUGUCUCUGCAGAAUUGGAACUAAUGUCAGGGACAGGCAGGGAGAACAUUCAUGUGUCACAGGGCAUUUUCUUGAUUCACUCACCUCUUUUCCUGCCUCUUGUCCUCAUGAUGGAAAAGCCCUUAGAAGUUGCAUCUCAAUUGUGGGAUGUUUCCCACGCUGUCGAGUUUCUUGAGUGUAUGCGUGAGCCCUGGAAGGUGCUGGCUGUCUAGGGUGAAAGGAAGCAAAAACUUGGUGGUCUAAGGAGGAAAACAGAAGAGAGUCAGACAAGAAGAGCAAGUUGAGGGCGUUUAAUUGUUUGGAAUAUUGUGGGACAUGAAUGUAGGAUAGAAUGUAUGGUGACAGCCAGGUCAAGGUGAGGCUCUGCUCCUUCUCUUCUGGGGGGGUCCCACUUGCUUUCCUUGACCCCCAUCUGGCCAGCCAGGUGUGAGCCAUGAUAUCACAGAAAUAGUGGCAACGUGCAAAGGGAGCCUGCUGCUGAAAGCAGAGAUGCUGUCUCAUACUGGACUCUCUUGCCAUCCACCCUUGCUCACCAUUCUUCAGCCCCAUUCCUACCACUUUGUUUCUGGGGACACACAGUGGGGGAGCAGGAUGAUUCAUCACUGUGUGGAAGAACAGGGUGGCUGCUGGCUUCGUGCCCACAGCAGUGACCCAGGGCUGAGCUGUCAGCAACCUAGACCUCUGCUGACGUGGAAGCAGCCAGGCAAAUCCUUUCACCCGAACUUUCACCAUCAGCAGCUUUCUCUUUUUGUCCGGUCCCCAUGUCUCUCCUCCUCAGGCUAGUUAGUUGACAAGCCUGAGAAAGCUGUAGGCCGGGUGUGGCCAACACCCCCUCCCCUCCCAAUCCCCACUUGCACAGGCUUGUACACCUCAAGCUUAACCUUGGUUGAUGUCUGUGUCUCUGUGUGGAAGGUUGGUGGGAAUGGUCUCUAUGCUCUAUUCCUGAACGCUCAUCUGGGCACCCAGAGGCCUGGGGUCUGUCAGAUCAGAGUGGGGUGAAGUUAUUGAGGCUGAAUUGGGGUCUGAGAGCUGAGAGAGCUGCCCUGCUUCCUCUGUACUGUUUUUUUUUUUUUCCAUCUGCUUUCAUAAGAACAUCCGAAGGGUCCCAUCUGCCUUUUAGGGAAGGGUCAUGCUUGGUGACUGGUAACAUCUGGGGUAGGGUCCAGUUCAUUAUGCCACCCAGAAUAGCCAAGCAGCUUAGGCAUUGGCAACCAGGGAAGGAAGAAGGGAUUUCCAAAAAAAAAAAAAAAAAAACCAAAAAAAGCCCCACUGCCAAUCGGGCAGCGCUGUCUCUGUCUGCUGUCUGCAGGCUGCUGCUACGCGCUCGUUACAAUUAAAAUGAAGUGUCCGUCAGCGGCUAUCUUCUCUGUGUGGCCCAUAUGUUUCUGAGCUGAUACUGUCCGGAUUAUUCUGUUCGGGAAAACGAUAACGGCUGUUUAUAACCUUGGCAAAGACUGAGGCCUAAUCAGGCUGGAGCACAUUUUCACCGACUGGCUGAUAACAGGCUGUUAGCAGCCUUAUCACUGGGGAGAGAUAGGCCAAAAUAAGCAGAUCUGUGAGCGCAGGAGUCCAAUCGAGUGGUACACACUCUGGCCCUGGCUUUAUUUUUAGAUUCCCUUUUCCCGGUUGAUAUCGGAGGCCCAGAGGAAGGAGGUGGUGGAUGGUAAUGUGUGCCCCCGUGGGGGUCAGAGUGAGACGGGGUGGGGGAAUGUUGAUCAACACUCCAGGCUCAGGGUCAGCCCAGCUCCCUGUGCUCCGGGCUCCCUUCAAAUGAGGGACAACACGUGCAGGUCUUAGGAGACAAAGGAAGAGGAGUGACUUGUGUUUCCUGGCCUGGUGUGUGGGCCCCGUCGCCUGUUCCGCUCAGCGUCUCCUGCUGUUGCAGUCUCCACUUAGGCAGGCAGGCUUCAGCGCUGGGGUUCUGAAAGAUCUGUGUCUUUGCACAUUCUCCCCUGCUGUAGGGACUUUUGCUUUCUGUCUCAAUCCACUUUGCCUGACAUCUUCAUGGCUUCCCUCCAGAACGACUAACCCUACCCGACUCAUCAUCCUCACACAUGCUUUGAGCCCAGCUGGUGGGUUAGGCUGAGAGGAAAGGCACACUCACACAGGUCCCGGAGCACAGAGAGCCUGCAGCGUCCACAUCUCUGAUGCUUGAGGCUCCAGGAGGGUCCCACUAAGUCAUUCCCCCCAUGACUGACACUCAGCUGCCAGGGAGGAGUUCUGGGUUUGCAGAGAGCUCCAAAGUUUUGCCUUUUGGUGAAGCCUUUAUGGAAAGGCCCUUGAACUUGUCCCUGUGUUAGUAACAGGUAAAGCCCAAAUCGGGAGCUAGCUCUUGCUUCAAGACCCAGUUCUCCCAAACCUUGACCUAUGCGUGGUUGUAGAAGCUUUAUGAAUGUGAAGUUAAAAGGUGUGCAUAGGAGGUCAAGCAUGUGAUUGAAAGAAGAGAGUAGGGAGGAAGAGUCAAUGGCGACAGGCAGCAAAUGUCACAGAAAGGAGAGGAGGAAGGGGAGGUAUUGUUGGCACUCUGCAGUGAAGAGUUGCAGUUUCUCUGUGUAUUCUGCUUAAGCCUUCCUAUCCUAAUGUGCACUGGGCUUUUCAGCCUCUCUUGCUGUGUCACUCUGCACCCCUCAGGUCUCCUUCCUCCUUCCUCCUCUUGCUUUCCCUGCAGCUGCUGGACUCACUUUGUCUUCCUGAGACUCUGGAGUAGAAUCAGGUGGUGGGAAAGAGGGGGCAGGGGCCCCAUGCCCGGGGGAGGGGAGGCACUUUAGGAGCACACAGACUGAAGUAGGCACAGAAGGCAGCAGAAAGCAUUAUUACCAUUAUCAUGCUAAUGUAUUUACAAAGCCCUUUAUUCGUUAAUCUUUGAAUAGCAGAGCCAUUCAUACAGCCUGAAAUAAGAACCACCUGUGCCUCUAGGACCAAAAACUAAAAAUGUUAAGGACAAAUGAUAUGGCGAAGCAGGAAGGGAAAAAUUAAAUACAAACAAGAAGAUUCAAUUCCAAUCUUUCUGUCAUCUAGACCUUCACAGAUCUGAUUUUACAGCUCACAUGUGGCAAAAUGGCUAGAAGAUUGUCAAUUUAAGAGACACCAUCCAAGUUUAGAGAACAUCUCUAGGGAAAGUUCAAAAUGUAGCAAAAUUAUUAAACAGUCUCUUUUUAGAAACCCAAACUGAGAUUUUUCUACACUAAUUUCCUUUCUUUUUCUGAAGUGAGUGCUGAUUAACCAAAUAAAAAUGGUUUUGCUUAAUACUUUAGAUUCACUGUUGAAUUCAAUAAAUGAAUAUUUUAAAUUAUCCUCACAAAAUUUGGAAUAACACAGAAAUCUAAAGCUGGAAGGGACCUUGCAUGUGAUCUAAUUCAAGUCUCUCACUGUCUGUUAAACCUUUAAUGAAUAGUUCUUUACACGUAGGCUAAGCCCCCCACUUGUCAGAUCGUACAUAGAUGGGUUCCAUUAGCUUUGGAGCAGUUCUGCUUACGCACAGCUCUGGCAAACACUUAAUACCCUGUGUUAUGGAUGCUUGAGAGGAUGAAGGGAGAUGUAGGGAAGGCUCCAGUUUUCUUUGCUCUGUGGCCAAGAUGGUAGUAAAGAUCCCAGUUAGAAAGUCUGCAGAAGAGGGUGUUUUCAUAUUUAGGUCUGAGCAUCUUUUAAGGAGAAAUGCAACAGUGGCCAGUGAGAUGGAAUAGCUUUCAUAUUCUCUUACUGAGACUUAAGAUCUCUGAAUAACAGUUCUCUUUCACAAUUUCUCUUUCAUUCUAACCAGUGAGUCUUAUGGUCCCAAGCGUUAGAAUUGGAUCAUCUUAGAGUUAGAAGGCCUACUCUGAACACUGUCUCCUGAUUUUGUAGAUGAAGAAAUUGUAACCCCAGACAAAGUACUGGACUUGGCCAAUGAGUCUCAACCGGGACUGGAACUAGUAUAUCCAACCUUCCUAACUCAGUGCUUUUUCAACAUUUUUGAUGACUUCAUGCUAUGAUUUAGUUAAAGGAUGAAGCAUUUAAAAUAAAUCCCUUAACUGUCCAUGCCACUGUUUAUUCAUCUGUAAAAUGAGGAUUGUAAUUUCCCAAUUGAUUUUUAAGUUCCUCGAGAGCUGGGACUGUGCCAUCCAUCUCAGUAUUUCCCAGGGCACCUAACUCAUGCAGUGCUUACACACAGAGCUGCUCAAUAAAUCCUGACUAUUGAACAGUUGAACGAAUGGAUGAAUAUGACUUUUAAUUGGUCUUCUCCAAUGAUGACUCUUUCAUUCAAUGAUUUUUUUUCCCCAAGUUGUGUGCACCUUCUCUGCCAUUUAUUCUUUGACUGCUUUCAGGAGUAAGCAGUGAAAAAUGCUGAUGAUGGCUGUGGUGGUUGAUGGAACACCUCUCAGCACUGCAGAAGUCCGACUGUCACCAUGGCAUUUUGUUGCUGUUGAUUGCUUUCCUGGUGGUUCGUUGUUUGUGAGGACUGGGAGGCCCUAGGGGUCUUGAGAGUCAGGUGGCUUUGAGGUUCUCAAUACAAGAGCAGUGCAUUCUCAGUUGCCUCGAAACCCUCUCCCGUAGUACUGUGGAAUCUGGUCACUUGUCCUGAAGACAGAAAGAGAAAAGAGAACUUAUAUGGGACCUUACAUAUUCAUCUCACUCAGAGGCCUUAAUUUCCUUGUUUCCUGUUGUAUUCCAGUGCCUAGAAUGACAUUCUGAUCAUGGUAGGUAUUUGGUAGAUAUUUGUUACGUGAAAGAGUAACUGUAGAUGGGCUACUUUUGCUAGACUAGUCCGUGCCUUCAACGUGCAGAUUUGGCCUGGGUAACUGUUAAGGUUCCCUUCAGGAAUACAUGAAGCUGUGAGUUGUCUGAGUCUGUUCCUCUUGGCUCUGAAAUCUUAGCCAAGACAUACUCUUUCCCUCAAUGAAUGAAUGAUGCUUAUCCCUUAAAUUCUGUGUCUUUGGACUUAGAACGUACAAUGACAGGAUUGUUUGCAUCCGAAGCCUCUGCUCAUCCCUAUACCGGGAGACGCCUGCCCACAAAAGCUGAGUGCCCACUUAGGCUUCUCAGAACAUCUGUUCAUAGUGAUCAGACUCUAAGGCAGCAGAUGAUACUAGUAGGGUACAGGGGUUAACAAAAUUUUAGUUUUAUUGGCUCUCACAUACUUUUCAGAGGCCUGCGACUGGCAUAUUUGGGUGACUACAUAUAAAGACAUUUUGCCUAUGAAUUAGGCCAGCAAGGUGUUUUCAGAUCAUACAAAAAUGGUCUAUGUGGGGACAGCCCAGUAGUGUAUGUGUGUGUGUGUGUCCAUUCACGUGUAUGUGUCUAUGUAUUCCACCCACAGAUCUCUGCAAGGCAGUCAUCCCCUGCACUAAAUACAACAUUGUUCAUUCUAGGAUCUCAGAACUGUACGUAAACAUCCAAUCACAUAUGACUAUGAAGACAGAAUAUUUUUUAAAAUUAGGCAAUUUAGCCCAAGGCAGAAUGUGCAGAACAAGCCUGACCUGUUUGUGGUAGCCAGACCUGAGUGCCAGCAAUAAGAAUGGUGAUCUCUAAGCAUAAGCAUUGUAAUAGUGGCAGGUGGCAAUGUGACUUUGAGAGGGGGCUCUCAGUCUGCAAGCAUUAUGCAGCACCUGGGGUGUACCUGGUCCUGUGUUAGAAACUGUUAGAGGGGGAAAAGUAGGCCUAACCAUACACACGUCCUUUCUUUCAAAAGCUAAAAAGCAUUCCUUCAAUUUGUUGAGCACAUUCUAGGUGCUAGACUGUUCAAUAUGGAAUGUAAUUAAAACAUUAGACACUGCAAUGCAGACAGUAAGCAGUGUUGGAGACAGAGGGCAGUUGAGUUUCAGGGCUGUGGAAUUGGAGAGAGGAGGAGGGGUGAUGAAUUGAAAUAUGGGUAGGAUUGGAGUCAGCAGAAGGUAAAAGAAUGGAUAUUACAUUUUUGAAAAGAGACAAAAAAAAAAAGGCUGGAAGCUCAAAAUGAGAAUGUCAGUUUUGUAGCAGUCAGUUUUCCUACUGCUAAAAGUGAAGGAAGUGUUACUGGAUAGUAGGAUGCCCCCACCGGAGGACGGCUGAGGACUAACAUGUUAACAGCUGCCAGGGUGAACUGCUCUGUGCUCCACAUGCUUGAGCAUGGCAUUGACAUUGAAAGUUCCAGGUUUCAUGAGAGUCUGUUUAAGAAUAGCACUUGGAGGUGUUUCUUUGGAGACUUCUAUUUGCCGGGUGUGUGGUGUGAUCAGAACCAUCUUUGGCCCCAGAAUGGAUAGAGACGUGCAAAUGCAACCACCUUGAGUGUCCCAGAGGCCCCUCCUCUUCCAGACUGAGCUCUGUCUAGGAUUGUCAGGCAGGUGUUCAAAUAAAUAAUGCAGCUAAAAAUACUUCCAGCAGCAGCUGGGACUUCCUUAGCUCUGGGACAGUGGGAGUGCAGCAUCCCAGCUACUUGGGCAGGUGUGUGUUGGCUCCAGAAAGUUAGAACAAACACACUCCAGACACAUCCCCUACAUAGACCAGGGCCUUGUUUCCAACGGAGAAACAAAACGAAGCAUUUAUUUCAUCCAGCCUUGCCUGGAAACAGGUGUGCCUUGGCUGAAGGCAUCAGAGGAAGAGCUCAAAAACAGCUGAAUGAAUAGGCUUCCACUAGGGGGAGACUGUGGUUUCAGAGAAGUAAGGGGAAACAGUAUUACCUGCUCCUUCACCAGGUCUUGUCCAUCACUAAGAAGUGGUAUCCUGCAUAACCUCAAAGAGAUGUGACUGUAUUAAUAAUCAUGAUGAUGUUAAUACAGCUCCCCUAGUAAGAUUGUUACUUGUGUUUCCAUGGGAACAUGCCAAUAAUAUGGGAUGCUUUACCAUUUUUGGGCUCCAAACUUGCCAUCUAUAUGAAUAAAUAAUAACUUGUAUUGUUGGCAUUGUGCAUUUUCAAGUAAUUUUGGAGAAUCGGGUUCACUUUUGGCAACAGGAUCUGUUACUUCCAACCUUUAUAGACAGCCAUAUCUGCCAGUUGGAGCUUCCAGAUGAUCUCAUUUAAGAACUCUGAGGGGCACCAGCAUUUUAGCACCUCAGGUUGUGGAACAGUGGGCUAAGCUGCUGCUUGUGACUUUGGCAUCCCAUAUCAAAGGGCCAGUGCAAGUCUUGGCUGUUCUGCUUCCAAACCAGCUUCCUGCUAAUGUGCCUGAGAAGGCGGUGGGUGAUGGCCUGAGUACAUUGGUCUCUGCUCUCUAUGUGGGAGACCUGGUGGAGUUCCUGGCUCCUGGCCUCAGCCUAGCCCAGACCUGGCUGUCGGGGCCAUUUCAUGGGUGAACCAGCAGAUGGGAGAUAGCACUGCCACUCUGCCUUUCAAAUAAAUAAAUCUUAAAAAAAAAAAAAAAAAAAAGAGAAUGCUGAGGAUCUCACUUGGAGUGGCCAAGAUGGCAAUGACCCUCAUUUUGGGCACUGCUUCUGUAGGACUAGCUCUAGUAUGUGUAGGUCCAAGAAGAAUAUUUGACAGGCAGGUAUAUUUAGACUUGGUGUGUCAAAGGUAGCCUUCCUCCACUGUGCUCAUGGUUAUCACAUGAUGAGUAGCCACGGGGCACUGACGUAGGAGCACACCAACAGUAAACCCUGAAUUGGCUUUGGGGAUGAGCCCAGUCCCGCUCAGCGACUUUGUGAAAUCCAAGCUGAUGACAGAGGUUGCCUGGCUGAAGGUUACCAGGCACUCAGUAAUGCUUUUGACUCUUUGACCAUCCAGAGUUUCUGUCAGGAUGACUGGAGAUGUUGCAAGACUCUUAUCUUUGUGGUAAGGAUUAGUCUUGAAAGAGACAUCUGCUUCAGAAUUUCAGGUUUUGAUAUGUAAAAAGGUCGUGACUUGCAAGUAAAGCAUGAGUCUUUUAAAACUGCAAUUCUAGUCCUGUUUUUCCUGUCUUUGUAGUAAACUGCCCCUCCCCCAAGUUUAAUCACACUUGGAUUUACUGAAAGAGGAGGAGCUGACCCUCAGGAUCUGGCCAGAUGACAAGUUUUGGUUGAUAACGAAAGUGUUUCAGAAUUCUACUCAGCCUUGCUCUCGGGCAGCGACCCCGUCAGAUCUCAUAAACUGGACAUGCUAAGGGGGCCACCAGGCGCUGCAACAGAGAUCUACACAGGACACAAACACUGCUCUGUGAAAAGGAACAGUCCGCCAGGGUGGUGUCCCAGGAGCAAGAGUUCCAUGAGGAGCCAUUUUUCUUUCCACUGUCAUUCAGAUUUAAAUCUGAGGUAGGACUAGGACAAAGUCUCUGCCUGUGUUUCACCCUGUUACGGAAGGUUAGGAAGAUGCUGGUGUGAUGUCUGGAGUAAAAUGUAGAGGGUGGGCCAUGAUUCCCAAUGUAAUAAAGUUCUAUGACAAAUAUACAACCAGAGCCUGGACAACAGGAAGUGGUGCCACUUUUACUUGGCCUGGGCAUGUGUGAGAGAGCAUUCAACUUUUGAUUGGAGCUAUACAUAAUUUAUUUACAGGAAGCCAGGGAGUAGGUAUAUGGCAUAUCAGAAUGGCCUCAGAAACUUUUUAAGAUAUAGGAGUGUUCUAGUUCAUAAUUUCUGGAUGUUGGUAGGCCCAGGCAUGUGCAUUUUGGGAAAACUCUAGAAGAUUCUACACCACAUCCCACUAAACUGAAGUCCAUUGCUUUAGAUUACUCUUCAGUAACAUUGUUGUUUUUCUGUGCAUGACCAAACCAGUAGUGUACUAUUCCUGUCACCAAAUUGGGAAGUAUUGAGGCUAUAAAAAGCAUGUGGAUCCGCCGGCGCCGCGGCUCACUAGUCUAAUCCUCCGCCUUGCGGCGCCGGCACACCGGGUUCGAGUCCCGGUCAGGGCGCCGGAUUCUGUCCCGGUUGCCCAUCUUCCAGGCCAGCUCUCUGCUGUGGCCAGGGAGUGCAGUGGAGGAUGGCCCAAGUGCUUGGGCCCUGCACCCCGUGGGAGACCAGGAGAAGCACCUGGCUCCUGCCUUCGGAUCAGCGCGGUGCGCCAGCCGCAGCCCGCCGGCCGUGGUGGCCACUGGAGGGUGAACCAACGGCAAAAGGAAGACCUUUCUCUCUGUCUCUCUCUCUCACUGUCCAUGCUGCCUGUCAAAAAAAGAAAGAAAAAAGAAAAAAAAAAAGAAAAGCACGUGGAAUCUGCGUGUGACUAAAGUGUGUGUAGGGGGCUGGUGCUGUGGCGCAGUGGGUUAAAGCCCCAGCCUGUAGCACUGGCAUCCCAUAUAGGUGCUUGUUCGAGUCCCAGCUGCUCUUCUUCUGAUCCAGCUCUCUACUUAUGGGCCUGGGAAAACAGUGGAGGAUGGCCCAAGUUCUUGGGUCCCUCUACUCACGUGGGAGACCCAGAAGACACUCCUGGCUCCUGGCUUCAGAUCAGCUCAGCUCCAGCCAUUGCGGCCAUUUGGGGAAUGAGCCAGUGGUUAGAAGACCCAUCUCUCUCUUCCUCUCUGUCCCUACUUCUCUCUGUAACUUUGUCUUUCAAAUAAAUAAAUAAAAUCUUUUUAAAAAAAUGUGUGUCUUUGCAUGUAUAUGCAUGCAUUCGCUUGCUUUCUGAGCUCACGAUCAGUGUGUAGCUGGCCUGGUGACAUGUGAUCAGAGUGAUGUGGACAUGGCAAGCCUGGGCAAACUAACUCUCCCGGUUUCACUCUGCCUGCAAACAGAGUUAACAUCCUCUAGGUAAAGCUCUGAAAUCCCACGCUGACCUUUUCGCAAAGCAUUAUAAUCAAGUUGAACAUUUCCAGUUUUACCACAAAUGCCUGCCCCAUGGGAAAAUAGUUCCCUACAUUUUAUGACAAUUGAUUCUGAUUUUGAGGAACUAAUUUGUAUUGAAUGCAAAAUGUCCAGCCUCACAUGGAAACUGGAAAGUCCCCAUGUCCAGACAGGGCCAGCACUGUGUUUUCAUUGUAAAGACAGGGGAAACAAUGAAAGAUUGUGUUUUCUGUUUCAGAAAAUCCUUCCUGCAUUGUUCUGCAUAUUUUUUUAUUUUUUUUCCAGUCUUGUGGGUCUGAUGACCACAGGCAGUUUUGCAGAUAUCUGGGCUUAUGGGAAAAUUUACCCUGUCUGGGUUCUAAGCUCCUGGGUGGCAGAGGCUGCUGGAUUUUUUUUACUGUUGUGAAGUUGCUGUAGUGCCAAGGUUCCUGAUGCAAACAUAUUGACCCCUUUGAGAGACAGUUGGAAACAUGAUUGACAUUUUAUACUCUGCAGGGAACAUCAGCCAUUUCGUUCCCCACAUUCCUGUUUUGGCCACAAAGGAAGCAAUGCUCUUGGAACUCUGUGAUGUAUCCAAGAACCCUGGAGGCUUCUAACUUCAUUUGGAAGAAGUCACAGAAACAAAAGCUGGUACUUCUCAGGCUAACAUCUGCUGACAUAAACAGAAGCCCCUCCAGGUUGCCUUCUGCCAGUCCCCAAACGGAGGAUUCACACAGAGAAAUGUUGUCCUUGGAUCUUGAGCACCCUUGCCUGCAGGCCUAGCUCAUGUGUUAGUAUGAAGAGCGAGUGGUGUGUGGACAAGGAGGUGGUGAGAUGCCUAUCAAGAUAAUAGAACUGCCUGGUGGUGGAGCCGGGCUUGUUUGGCCUGGUGACUUCUGGUCUAAGGGUGCUUCCUCUGUACUGGAACUGUGGCUGACUUGGGUUUCUGUGGUUUCCUGGCUGAGGUAGACUCAGCGUCUGCACCUUCAUGGCAGCGUGUGACACAUUUUGGAAGCCUACUCUUGGGUGGUGGGAGGGGGCCUCUCCCUCCAAGGCAAUGUCGUGAUGUUUUUGAUAGGCAUUAUGUUCUGUUUACUUGAACCAGUGAGGAGAUGAUCGGGCAAGCAAAAGCAAGUAUUGAUGUCUUAGAAAGGUUUACUGUAAUCCCAUGAGUGUGUAAGCAUUCUAGGGCUCACGAGAGGCUGUGUACUCCCAUUUCUGGAAUUCUCCCUUUGGCAUCCUCAUGCAGGGGGCCUUUUUCGAGUUGUGCUUUGUGGAGGAAAUGUCAGCUGAGUGCUAGGGACUGUGUUAAGCAUUGUUCUUAAAUGAACUCAGGAGCUGAGGGUCCCAAGGCUUUCUACUUGAAUCCCAGCAUGGCCAGAAUUCUCUUUAUGGUGCUGCUCCACAUCUCAGUGACUCCAUUCUGUAAGAUUGAGUAGGAGUGUAUUCUUCCCCCUGUAUAGGACUAGGAGAGAGUGGAGGAAGAAAGAUAAUGACUUAAAAGCAAAAACAAUUGAAUUCUUUGAGCUACAGCGCUCUGUCCUGAGAGUGCAUUUAUUUUCUACUGCAGAAUGCCUUCAAAAACAUUUAUCUCGAUUCUCUCACAUUCCCGUUUGCUGUCAUUGGCGUGAAAGAUCGAGUUCCCAGAGGUUCAGCCGUGUUCUACAGUUCUGACUACUGGACAUUUUAGUUAGUGUCUCAUCAGCACCCAUCUGUAGCUCCUUCUUUGUUGACUUGGCUCUGGCUUGUUCCAUGGAAACUGGGAAUCCCGCUCAGGGACUAGCAGGUGCAUAUGUUCACUGACAAUAUCUCAGGCAUGGGUCCCCACGAAGCUGUCCAUUUCACAAAAUUGCACUAAGCACCUUUUUUGGUCGUUUAGUUUUUGGUUGUUCUGUUUUCUAGGUACCGAGGAUAUAACAGUGGACAGAACAGACAAUCCUUGCCCUCAAGCAACUUCCCUUUUCAUGAAAGGAACAGGCAAGAGGAGAUAUAGCCUGUAUAAAACAAUCCAAUAUCCUAUAGAAUACUAAUGCCUUUUAAACUUGAUUUUGUACCUUACCCCUCCAACUGACUCUUUAGCCCUAAGCUCCCUGCCAAGUGGUCUCCUGCCUGGGCAUGUCUGGUGACUAGCACUUACAGAUAUCUGCAAGGCUUAUGUUCCGGCUUAAUAACUAUUUUCUACUAUAGAAUCUUCCUGCUGCUCACUCAAGCCAUAAUCUCUUAUGCUGCGAUCAAUGGGUGUGCACCUUUCCCAUUCGGAUGCUCAUUUUUUAAUCCCUGCUGCCUCCCUCAGUGUCAUCCUGUUCCAUUUUUCUUUAUAGACUUCCAGGUCUACUGUACCUGCUGAUUACUUAGUGGCGAGUGCUGGACAUCUCCCUUAAUUAAUUCCAUCGAUUUGAAAUCCCACAAGGUUCAAGGUCCUUAGAUUUCUGAGGCAGCUAAAUGGAAUGUCUAAAUUCCAACCUUUUCCUUCUACAAAUUGUUUUGCCACAAAGUUACUGGGCGGAAGUGCUGUGGUUUUAUUUAUUUGAAGGAGUAUAUUAAUCCACAGAGGGCUCUGCACUCUUACCUGGGCUUUUUGUGUACAAGAUAGAGGACAAGAAAAUGCUUGCAUCUUCCUCCCUCUCUUUCCCUCUCUCUCCUGAAUCCCUUUCCCCCCUUCCUCUUCUUCUCUCUGCCCCACAUCCAGAACCGCUUCCUUAUUCUCUUCUUUCUUCUGAUCAGCGGCUUCCUUUGUCACUUACACCCAUAAUUCUGGCUCAGCUGGGACUCUAUCCUAGCAACCAGUGACUUCCAGGUUUCUCAGAAGAGGGGCAUAACAAUCACAAAAGGUGUAGAAGGUCUGGUCAAGGCUUCUUGUUUUGAAAAGCACCAGCCCAGAGUGUCUCAGCCAAACCCUAUGGCAGUGAUCUGAGUUAUACAUAUAUUAUUAUUAUUUUUUUUGAAAGGCAGAGCUAGACAAUGAGAGAGAGAGACAGAGAGAAAGGUCUUCCUUCCGUUGGUUCACCUCCCAAAUGGCCGCCACGGCCUUCGCGCUGCUCUGAUCUGAAGCCAGGAGCCAGGCGCUUCCUCCUGGUCUCUCAUGUGGGUGCAGGGCCUAAGUGCCUCCACUGCCUUCCAGAGCCACAGCAGAGAGCUGGACUGGAAGAGGAGCAACCGGGACAGAACCGGUUUCCCAACCGGGAUUAGAACCCGGAGUGCCAGUGCCGCAGGCAGAGGAUUAGCCUAGUGAGCCACGGCGCCAGCCAUAUAUUAUUUUGUACUACUCCCUGUUAAAGGUGAGCAUGGAGUUUCUGAAGGAGAGCCAUCCAGUCUGUCUGAGGAUCCUACAGUUUGGAGGAACAGCAAACCUUCUGUAUACAUGGACAGCACUGCAAAGAAGAAAAGUGGUUAUGAGCUCAGUUCCUGCAUCUUACUUAUCAUCUUAUCAAGACAGAGAUGAGGUAUGGGAAUCUGUAGCUAUUGGGAGCUUACCAUGUUCCAGGCCCUGGACUAGGUGUUAGACGUAUGUGACCUCUGCAUGUGAAGCAACUGUGUGAGCCAUGUGAGUACCACGAGCUGCUUCCCAGUCCCUUUCCAAUCACCAUACUGCCCAAGAACAGGAAGUGAGCCUCAGUGCAAAGAUGUUUCUUGGGCUAAUUCUUGAAAGGCCUGUGUUCCACUUUCCCUGUGAAGCUGGCAGCCAGUGUGAACCCUUCCUGGAAGUUGGCACUCUGGUACACAAUGAGUGGGGCCAGCUUGGUUGUGCAUGGGGUAUUGGCAGUCAUCAGAGAGUUAAUAUAGGAUGAGCAUGGCUGGUGGGUGAUUGGAAGGGGUUGGAGGUAGAGCUACAUAGAUGAAUUCUCAACCCUGUGGUCCUUCCCUCUGUCUAGUUCAAGUGUGUGUGUGGUAGAAGGCCAGGAAGCGCUGUGUGAGAAGGGGCAUGGCCUUGUUUAGAAGGACUUUUCUUCCUCGCUCCCCAGGCCAGCCAGGCAGCAGGGUCCUGCACUGCCUGUGGCUGAGGAAGACUCUGUUGCUAUGCGCCGGAAGCUUAAUUUUAUUAUUGCUCUCCCCUAUUUAAUGUCUGUCUCUCAGGCAGCUGGUGAUGUUUUAAUGAAGCUGGAAUUGUAUAGUCUGUAGCGCUGGAUAAUCAUAAGCUGCCGAGUCAGAAUCAAAUUAAUAAUUCAUGAAAUUAAAGUGUAUAAUUAAUUUGAACCGUGCAGAUGAGAGGAAGGGCCGGAGCCCACAGCCUGGAAGGAGCUGAUGUGUGGGGAGUGUUGACUGAACUCAGCUUCUAUCCCCAAGCAGUGUGACUGUGCCUGUAGGUUAGGUGUGGCACAUGUGUGGUUCUACCUGAAGCAAGGUCCUUUCGCUGAAAAGCAGGGGUGACCUUCUUAGAAGUGCCAAAGCUUGUGAGUUGAUUUUGAUUCACUCUUCCCUGGCCCAGGAAGAACCGUGUUUGGAUAGGAAAUGGGACUGUCCUGUGUUGCAGGGUUACAGAUCUUUGUGGCACAGACAAGUCCUUCGAGUCUCUUCUGUGCCUUACAGGGAUGCAAAUAAAAUCCAGCAAUUCAAGAGUUCUGUUUACCUUCCACAACCAUGGAUCAUAUCUCUCCCCCCACACACACACACUCACACACACCACACAGCCACAGCAAAUACAAAUGAGUUCCUCUGGACAGCAGUGAUGAUGUGUUUCCCAUCUAGUCCCUGGCUCGCAGUUGCUGCAGAAGAGUCUUUUCAGGGCUUUUCUGUGGCUGACAAAGUGCAGAGAAGGCAGCCCCAAGUGUCUCACUCAGCAGUGAGGUCCACAGAGUUCCCCAGUGUUCUGCUGUCUUGUGUUCCUCUUCCAGGCAAUGUUGCCUCUUUAGGUGGGAGAAGCAAGGGGUUUGCUUAUGAAUAGUGUUGUUUAUAUUAUUUGCAGGGUGUUUUACCCAUGUGAGUGUUCUUUAAAAGUUUAUGGUAAAGGAGAAUUCAAAGAUAAGUGUGUUUGGGUGCAAUGUUUUUGAAACUCAUGUGUAUUUUUUCAUAAUAUGUCUUUUUCAUGAAAUUUGUGAAGACUCUCUCGUGCAUGGGUUUCAUAGAUUUUGUGCACCAAAAUAAACUUAUCUUUUAAUUGCAUUUUCCACAAAAUUUUUAAAGUAUCCUAGGAGAGUCAGCACUCUGAAUCUAUGGGUUUCACAUUUAUUGGCUUCACCAAAUUCAGAUUAAAAAUUCAAAAACACAAACUGUGGAGCGGAUAUUUGGCCUAAUUGUCAAGAUACCACUUGGAUGCCACGUUCCACUGCAGAGUGCCUGGGUUCCAGUCCUGACUCUACCUCUAAGUCCAGUGUCCUGCUAAUGCAUACCCUUGGAGGCAGAAGAUGAUGACUCGAGUGGUUGGGUCCCUGCCCUCUACAUGACAGAACUGGCUUGGAUUCUGCUCCUGGAUUUGGGUUUUUCCAUUCCCACAUGUUGUGGACAUUUGGAGACUGUUCCAGUGGAUGAGAUUCUCUCUCUCUCUCUCUCUCUCUCUCUCCAUCUCUCUCUGCCUUUCAUAUUAGUAAAACAAAUAAACAUUUUUAAAAAGUGGCAUCUGUACUGAACCAUAUACAGAUUAUUUUUUCUUGGAAUUAUUUCGUAAACAAUAGAGUAGGACCAUUUACAUUGUGUUGGCCAUUAUAAGUGAUCUAGAGAUGAUUUAAUGUAUACUGGAGGAUAUGUGUAACAUUCAAAUACUAUGCCAUUUCACAUAAUGGACGUGAGCAUGUGUGGACAUGAGCAUUUGUAGGAGUUCUUGGAAUGAAUCUCCCGUAGAUACUGAGGGACUUCUAUACUCUGCAAAAAUUCUCCGCGGUCCCUUUAUUGUAUCUUUUCUUCUUUUUUGGUGGUGGUGGGGGAGUCUUUGGGUUUUAGAUGACUGAGGCUGUAGUAAACAGAGGGAUCUUUGGGUUAUGCUCUUCAUUCUGAAGUCCCUUCUUGAGUUCAGGGCUCCUUAGCCUGGCAGAGUUCUCUUCCAGUAGUGAUGUAUAGAAAAUGAGAAGGCAAAACAGGAAUUGUCAAUUGUCCAUUCCUCUUUGUCAGGCCUUUGAGAGUCCUUGGAAGCCGUGAUGCAGACUAAUGGUGUAUCAGCCCCCACAGGUCUGUAUGGAAUUGAGGCUCCAUUGAGUUCCUGUCCUUAGGUCUUUGGAACGUUUAUUUGUCCCCAUCCUGGGGAGGCUUUCUCUGCCUCUGUGUUCACACACUUAACCAGAAACACCAAGAGGAAGCUGUACCAGUGAGAUAACUCCUCAGGACUCAAGAGCCUCACAUGCAACCAUGUUCUGCACACUCAUUCUCUUGACUCCUCUCUUGAUUGGCAUGCUUCCCUUGAACUUGCUUCUGCUUGCAUGGCCUUAACUUCUUUAACCCCCUUCCACUUACCCCCAGGUAAGGUUUCAGCCAUAAGCUAUUUGAUUACCCAUAAACACAUCUCAAGGUUCUGUUUUGCUCUUAGCAAUCCUUAAACUGUUGCAUGUCUAACAUUCUCAGACUAAUGUACAAAUCAGGACAUCUGAUGGCCAACCCACACCAAAUGCACUUCAGGACAAAAAUAAUGGCUCUGUUGUGUCUGGUUUCCUAUCUUCAAAGUACUUAGUUUCCAUGACUAAACCUGCUCUGUGAAAUAGCUGUCCAUCAUUUUUAGGAAACAAAGCCAAGACAGUGAAAUAAAGUGACUUCCCCAGGACAACCAGAGUGGUUGGUACUGACUUGAGUUGUUGUUUUACCUCUCAGUUGAUAGCUGGUAUCUUUGAUAACCUACCUCAGGAUUUGGAAAUGGAAUUUAACUCAGAACUUUCAGAAUUUCCUUCUUGUUGAAUUGAAAGUUUUUGACCAUCCUGGAUAAAUUAGGUGUUCUUCUGCUGGAAAUAUACUACUGCAUGGUUUCUUGUGUGGCUAUUUUAUCCUUAAGAAGUUAAUCAGUUUGUGAGAGGAUUAAAAAUUAUGUAAGACUACUGUGGACCCAGCAGAACUUGUGCACCUUGUUUACUGUGAGCUUUCUCUUUUUACAAGCAAAUGUUUGUAUCAACCCAAGGUUGCCUCAUUGGGUGGAACGGGAGCUUUCUGGAAUAUAUUGAUUACAAUUUCUAGACACAGUGAUCUUUUUUCUGCCAUGAGUUUCAUGUAGAGAGAACAGAACAGGAUGGGAAUGAUGAGUCCCAAGUCUACUUAUCAUCUGAAUAACUGGACAAUGACCCUGCUGGACCAGUUAUUUUAGCCAUGCAAACAGUGAUUAGCUUAGAUUGCCAUAUGAUCAGUCUAAUCAACCAUGUGGCAUCCAGCCAUAAAUAUAGCUGGAACCAAUGAAUUAACCAACAAAAACUGGUCACUUCUGGGCAUAUGAAUAGAUGCAUGCUGAAGCCAUGUCAAGGAAUUAUAUAAACUUAUGAGCAUGGCCACUUACCUCAUUGUUAGAGAAGUGCUGUGUCCAAUACCUAUUGAAUAUAAAAUAGAGGUGUAUGGUAUAUAAAAUAUUCAUUUGGGGAAAAGAAUGACUUCCUAAAAUGUACAAUGACAAAUAAGCCAUUCCUCCUAAAAGCAGCCCUGUGCCUUAUACUAUGAAAAAGUUCUACAGUCUUUCAGAAAAGAGGUUCUUAGUUCUAGGGAUGCAUCUUGGGGAGGUGCAGUCAUCAGAGCCCCUCUAUGUUGACUUAGAGAUGAGGCCCAGAGUCCAUCCUAUUGUCCCUUUGUCCAAGAGAUUCUUUGUGCUUGCACAAUGCAAGACAAAGCCUUCUCUUCAGUUUUCUGGGUUCCUGGCAGCCACACUUUUUGAUCACUUUAUUUUGGUCAGGUGCUCGAGCAACACAACAUUGGUGUUAUGGUUUUGCUGGAGCUCAACACAAGCUUGGGCUCUAUUAAGUUACAGGCCACUGGGGACAAAGAUUUUGACCCUUUAGCAGCUCCUGAAUGAGUUAUUACACUUGCCCCUUGGCAUGCACAUAAUGAACAUGUAAUGAAAUUCAGUAAUUAACUUAUUUAAUUUAUGUAUUUGUUUAAUGUGUGCCCUUAAUGUGUGUCUUAUGAUCUCAGAAAAUAUCCACAAUUCUGUUGUUUUGAUUGCAAGAUACUAGAAGACAAGAAUAGUGCCCAUGUAGUUUUAUUUACCACUGACUGUUCUGUAUUGAUAAAACUACAUUUGGUUAUAAUUCAGAGAAGUACAACACGUAUACAAGUUCUCUUGAUAUAAAGUACAGUUUGUAAGAACUAGCAGAAAGUAAGAGGGCAGAUAACUGUCAUUUUGUGCUUCUGUCAUUUGGAGCAAGGAAUUCUAGUUCUUUAGGGUUAGGCCUUUGUCCUGCCACAUCACUCAUGCAACUGUGGAUGGCUUUUCUUCCUAAGGGUGAGAGAUUCAUUUUGAGUGUUAUACACACAGUCACACAUGCGCGGUGGUGAUGGCUCUUGAGUUGAGUUGGAGCACAGCCAACAGCCCCUUCCCACGCACCAGACACGACUCACAGCCACAAGGUAGCCUCUGCCAUAGCUGCCAGGAGGCUCUCUGCUAGGACAUGAUACAGGUACACUUCUUUCUGUGUGACAGUCCAAGGUCUUUGUUCCCAGUCUCCAGGUGAGCACUUAGUGCUGCUUUCUCCCAGAGGGAGCUCCUGUAAGAACUGACAACCGCUCAGCUGAAUGGGAGGCUCCUCCACCACUGAUGUUUUUCAUGUGAUUUUUCUCCGUUCGUUAUGCUCCCUACAUCGUCUGCUGAGGAUAUGGGAAAAGAAGCAAAUGAAGAAGUAGAGCUAGCUCACUCCUGUUCAUUCUUGUGAGAACUGGUGAGGCUACAGUUAACAUAGAGAACUAUUUUAGGCCUUGUUCCUUGGAGAAGUGAACAAGGAGUCCACAAUUGUGGAAGAAUUUCUGCAUAAAUGUGCUACCAUUUUCCUAUGCAAACCAGUAAUUUACUUGUUUUCCAGAAGGGUAGAAGUAAUUCAUAAUUUUCAGAAAUUAUUUAUUAUCAUUAUAACAUUUCACCACAGGCAGCAGAUAGCCCAUUAUUCAGAAGUAUAAUGUAUUUUGAUUUAGACAAGGCCAGAAUAAUGAAAUUGGAGGAAAUGCAGAAAAUAUGGGUAUUAAUGUUAACCAAGCCUACUUCGCUCUACAGAAGGAGGGAAGCUCUCUUCACCAAAGAAUUGUUUGUUUUCCCCCAAAUCUGGGGGUUUUGUUGUUGUUGUGCAAGGCCUCUGGUUUUUAACUUCACAACACCGGUUGAGAGUCCUGGAGUAAUUUUUAACUGCAGGAUGCAUCUCUUGCCCGAUGUUUCUCCCCACCCACCGCAACAUAUUUCAGUUUAAAUGGCCUGUUAUUUUUUUUCAUAGAGCCAUGUGUCUGCACGGGUGAGAACUACAGAACAGUCAGGAGGAAUUUGAUACGCCAAGUGGGUCAGCUCAUUAUAACUUCCAGGAAACCACAAGAUAAUUGUAGGGUUACUGCUGGUAGGCGCCGCGGCAUUGUGUUCCGCGUUGAUACUCUGCUCUGUUCAACUUGCACCCGCCACUCGCCUUUUCAGCGCAUCUUAUUGCACAUCUGAAUAAACGUGGUUGACGUGCCUUUUCAAGCUGAAUUCUCAGGGUGGCAUCCGGGAAUCCUUGGCACCUAACCUUAGAGAUUUUUAAAGGACAACAUUAAAAAGAGUAUGACUGGAUUCUGUACAGUGAGUAGGAAAUUAAUCUGACAAAAACCUGUGUCAAAUCGUGGGAGUUCUUUUGUUGAUACAAAGUGAAUUUUCCUAAAAUGAUAUCCUACCGAUAGACUUGCUGACCACGAAAUGGUAGGAUUUGACAUACCGAAUCACCUUCUGCUAUUCAUCCGUGUGCUCUUAGUUGGACCUCUAUUAUUAUUUUUUUCUUCCUUUUUCCCUUUCAUCAUUGUCAUAAAAAUAUUUAUUAAUAAUUUACCUCUGAAGGUAACAAUAGAUUGAGCCUGCUUUCUAGGGCCUCACAAAUUAGCACAGGCUUUUAAUGUUGAUAUAUAGAUUUCAAACAUAUUGUGUGACAAUAUCUAUGUAUACACAGGCGUGCACACAAACACAUAUACACACAUGAGGGCAUUUCAAAAAAUUCGUGGAAAAAUAAAAGUAAUAGAUAAGUUUAUUUUGCUGCAAAGAAUUCAAAAUCCAUUCAAAUGAGGGAUCUUCAAAAAGCUCAUGAAAAUGCACUAUGAAAAAACUGCAUGGAUUUUAUUUUUUACAUAAAAUAAACUUAUUUUUAAAUAUUUUCCCACAAAUUUUCAAAGUAUUAUUUGGCAUUUACUGUAUUUCAACACUAUUUUUAACACUUUUCAGGCAAUUUCUUUAACCUUUUAAAAGAACUAGAUGAAACCAGUGGAUGAAAGACUUUCUCUCCCUCUCUCUCUCUCUCUCUCUGCCUCUCUUUCCCUCUCUGUGUAACUCUGACUUUCAAAUAAAUAAACCUUAAAAAUAAGAUAGAUGAGGUGUGCGUGUAAUUAUUAUCCCUAUUGCUCAGUUUAAGAAGCCUGUGGCCUAGAGAGGCCAACAAACUUGCCCAGAGUCGCACAGCUCUUAAGGGGCGUUUUCAGUCAGUCUGGACAGGCAGUCAGGCCCAGGAGUGAGUGCUUUUAUCAGCCAUACUCUGCUGCUUCUCAGUGUGAGUAUAAUAAGCAAGGGGUGGAUAAUAAAAAUAAUACUCUCGUAAUUAUUAUUACAGUUAUAAUCAGUGAACAUUACCGAAUAUUUCCUAUACAUCAAACAUUCGUUGCCUCAUUGAAUCCUCCCAAUAAUCUGAUGAUGUCAAUGCCAUUAUUAUCACACUUCAGAUAUUUAAAAACAGACUUUGUUUCUAAUCCAGUCCCACGUUACACCGCUUGUAAACAGCAGAGACCCUUUUUGUUGGGGUAAAUCCUGGAGGACUUCCCAACAUCUGAAGGUCAUGAUAAGUCAGGCAGGGAGGGUAGAGUCAGCAAAGCUGGCAUUACGGGAGGUCGAGUGUGGCAGGUCAAUCGACUGGGUGGAGCACGGCACGGGAAUCCACUCCUCAUUCUCCAGCAGUCCCAGAGUUGGUGGCAUGGAUGAGGAAAGUGAAUGUGAGGGACUGGCUCACAGCAGGUGUCUAAGGCUCCUGCCCUGUUGAGAAAUUACAGUGUCGCGUAAGCUUGGUCAAGACCAGAGCAGGGACAGGACACAGCGUCAAGCAAGCUCCACUGCCUCUGUCCUCCGGUGCCAAAGGAGCAUAUAAAAUAACCAUUGUUUCAAUACUGGGCCAUAUUUGCCCUCCUUUUAAGAUUAGUCAACAACUGUCUCUGGAUAGUGGUAUUCUGGAUUUUUUUUUAUCACCCUAUUUUACUGUGUGCUUGAAUUUUCUUUGUAUAUGUAUUUGUUUGUUGAAUGCUCAGAAAUGAUGUAUGACUAGGUAGCAUUCCUCCAGAACAAUGGAGAACUCCAGUGAUUGUUUUGCCCAUGCAUUUUGCACGUGUGUUUGUGUGCAUGAGGGUGUGUAUGCUUGUGUCCAUGUUUGUGACUUGCGGGCAACAGGUCACCUGGAGGCUGGACACCUUCUGUGAAAACUCCAGGAACUUCUGUACAAGAGAGUGGCCCACUUGACCUAUUUCUGUGUCUUUUGCCUUGAUCCUGUCCUCUGCCUGCCUUCCCCCAUUAGACAUGUUAAUGGCUCAUAUCAUCUUCCCUUUCAUCAGCCCAAAAAAAAAAACCUUGCUUGGCUUCUCUGAUUUCAGCCUGUCACUUGAUGAGGUCCCUGCUAUUUAUAUUUUUGUUUGUUAGGAGGGAGGGGGAGAAACAUAUAAAUAAAGCCCAGGCAAACCCAACCACACUGCUGGAUGGGAAGGGACUCCCUCAUCUAUGGCAGAAGGGCUGCCUAACUGGUAUUUAAGCAGGGACCAAGAGGUCCACACUGUGAAUGCCAUUGAAAGGGUUACUGGGAAAUGCAAACAAAAACAAAUGCAAAUGAGGCUGCCAGCAACAGGUAGACUUAAUCAGAUGCUGUCAGAUGAAUUCCGCAUCUCCCCGAUUGUCGCCUCUCUUUGCCUCCCAUUCGGAAGCCCUCAUCUGCUCCAGAUGUGGUUUAAUUUACUGCGACUUGGCUAAUUACUGUAAUUAAGGAUUAAUUACUGUUAAUUACUUUCACAUAAACUCAACGCCAGUCAAAGAGCGGAGCCUUAUGAAGUCUGCCACAGAAGUGAGCACGGCUCGGCGGCCUGUGUGAGCUCUGCAGGUCCCACUGUAUUGCCUGGGCCCCUGCUGCCCGGAAGCUUCUUGACCUUCCAGCAUCGCCAGUGGGAUGAGAGGCCAAAGGUGCAGGAAGGGUCAGUGCUCAGGCUCUCACAGGGUGUCAACUACUAGGCACUUUCUUACACAGUGGGUGACCAGAAGGACGGGGACAGUGCAGGGGAGAGGCCUGGACAGCGUGCAUGGAGAUGUGCAGAGCGCCAGCCUGUGCCAGCAAGGGUAGGAGCCAGUCUUGUCUUCCUUUUCUGCUCUUACACUGUUGGUUCUGUGAGCUGCUAAGAAGCCAAAACUUUGGAUUGGUGCUGUACCCCCAGCCCCACCCCGGAAGACGUUCACCAAAAGUAAUCAGAACAAAAACCAAACAAGCCCCAGGGCACACAUUUUUUUUUUUUCUCACUAUUGCUUUCCCAUCUUAAAAAGUACUCUCAUUUUUUGAAGUAAACAAUGCAUAAAGGAAUGGUCCAACACACUGCAUGUAUUUAAUCAUGCAACUGUGCACUUAGUACCACCCUAGCACCACCCUAGAUACCUGUUCUCUGACUUCACCUGGACUCACACUGCCAGUUCAUGUAUCGAUUUGUUCUAGAGACUUUAAAAUGUUUCCCUCUGCCCUUAAUGGGCAUCUUUUGCCACCAAGUCCUAAGCUGUUGGUGUUAGAGUUCUGACCUCUGACUGGCUGUGCAUGGGUCUCAUUCUACCCUCUGGCUGGGGCAGUCCCAUCACUCUUGUGACUUAUCUGCUGGACUGAAAAACUCCUUGAUGUCAGACCACGUGUCUCAUUCAUUGUUGCAUACCACAACUUAGUGCUACCCUCAACCCAAUGGGUGCCUUCUGCUUGCUGGGCCAUGGAACCCUAGAUUGUGUGCAACUUUGGUUACCUACCAAGGGAACUUUCCAAGGCCUGCCUUCUUUCCUGUGCCACACUCACCAUGCACAGGAGACUUGUCUGUUGGGGGCAAGGUAGGUUUUUGUGUCACUUAAGAAAUCCUAGGACUAAAUCAUUUCAAAAUGAGAUCCACAAAAAGUCUUUUUGAUGGUAAAAUUCCAAACCAUAUGUUGUAGGGACAGUGGGCAAAAACUAUAUAUAUGAUGUUUUCAUUCUGUGUGUUGCUCCUGUUGACAGAAAGUGGCAUGGAUGCAUUUAGGUUAAGUCUGCCUUCACUUUCACUACCUGAUACCACUCAUGUAUUAAAGGAAACUUAAUUUGGGACUAAUGAGACUUUGAAAUUAAUUUGGGAGCCAGCAUUGAAAUGUAGCUGGUAAAGCCAUGCCUGUGAUGCAGUCACGUCAUAUAGGCACUGGUUCAAGUCCUGGCUAGUCCACUUCUGAUCUUGCUCCCUACUAAUGGCCUGGGAAAGCAGCAGAAGAUGGUCCAAGUGCUGGGGCCCCUGUACCCACAUAGGAGACCUGGAAGAAGCUUCUGCCUCCUGGCAUCAGAUCGGCCCAACUCCGGCCAUUGGGGCCAUUUGGGGAGAGAACCAGGAGGUGGAAGACCUCUCUUUCUCUCUGUCUCUCCCUCUUUCUGUCUGUAAUUCUGCAUCUCAAAUAAAUAAAUCUUUUAAAAAAUUAAUUUACUAACAUAUUAUAAUUUUAAUAAGCCUUAAGUUAAAUAAAUUAUAAAUGAAAAUUUAAGUUUAUAUUAAAUCUUAUGCUAAUUGACCAACUACAGGAAAAUAACUCAUCUAAUAAUUAAAGCAUAUUUAUCUUUUAGUAGACACUUUUGUGUUGUUCUUUGUGAGUCCAUAGAAAUGUUCUAUUAGUUUUUCCUUCGGCUGGCUAAUUUUGGUUGGCAAGUGGGUUGUUGAACUAAAGUGUACAUAUACACAUAGUUACUCUAUGUGUUGCUAUAUUGUGUAAGGGUAUGCGGGCUCAUACUCUUUCCUUUAUGUUUGCUGAAUGUGAUUAUAAUGGAUAUAUUCAGAUGUAUGUGAUUUCAGUGGGUGUGUGCCUCACAGACAGUGAAAAUACAUCAGAUCCUACUCUUCUACACUUUGAAGUUAUCUGCUUCCACAUUUCCUCCUAGAAUUUAGCUGUCAGACACAUUACUGAGAGUUCAGAUUCCCAGUGAUGGUUUGAAGGAAACAUUUUUUGUAAGAAAUGAACUAGAUUCAACUUCAGUGGAUAAUUCAUUUGCAUGUUUAAAAUACAGAAAAUAUAGAAACGGGAUUGUGAAAUUACUUAGCUACAUCCUAUUAUUUCUUGUCUGAAUAAUUAAUUCACAAUUUGAAUUUCUCCUUUAAAGUAAUUUCUGUUUUGCAAGCCAGCCCCCUCAGGUAAUGGGUUUGCCAUUACUCACCAAGUAACUCAUGAAGUUAGGGAUUGACUAUAUUUUCCCCGAUAUAUGAAAUGAAUGUAAUGUAAGUGGUUCACUUAACAAGCAUUUACUGAAUGCCUGCUGUGUGUCACACACAGUACUAGGCCCUGAGGAUGACACAGUAUUAAGUUAUCUGUAGUGAUAAAUUACAGUAUGAUAAAAUUAAUAAUACACCAUUACCAUGAGUAACAAAUACAGUUUGACAUAUUGAACAUUUUUCUCUUGUGGUCAUAUUUAUGUAAAAGCCUCUACGGCAGGGAAAGGGAGAGCAAUGGAAAGAUGAAAUCUAAUAGGACGGUCCUGUGAUCUGGAGAAGGAAUAUUCAUAUGCUUGUUUUCUGGCAAUGAAGUCAAUUACUUAAGGAAUAUCUCUGAAGUAUAGCUAUGUAGAAUAAAGAGUUAAUAUCAUGACACUUUUUCAGGCUGGAUAGCAAGAGCUGUAGUGAUGUGAAAAGUGAAGCAUGGAACGUUCCAACUGCUUCUAUAAUUCAUUAAUGCUAUUGCAAAAAUACACAUCUCCAGCUGUCAUUUAAUGUCCGUGCCUAAUUUGUUUGAUCCUAUAUAUUCUGCAGUUAUUUACAUUAAAGUCCAUAAGCUAUAUAUGCACUAUACUUGUAGCUCCUCUAUAUUCUAAUGACAAUACAAAUGUAUUCCCUAUUUGCAUGGCCACACUUUUUUUAAAAAUACUGCUUUUGUAAAAGUGAACUUUUAGGCAAAAGCAUUCAUUCAACACUGGCUGUCUAAGAAUUUUCUGACAAUUUUAGAGAGUCCAAAAAUAAAUAUGUAUAGAUAUAUAUCAUAUAUCUAUAUAAUGAGAUCAAAUUAUAUAUUACACAUGUAUGGAAUAUGUUUCUGAAGCUCACAGCCCUAUUGAAAAUAUCAUCAAUUUGGAUGUGUGUGCUUGGCCCCACGUGUGUGGAAUCACGGAGUUGUGUGUAAGGGCCUCAUUGAUGACAGGGGGAGUAAAACUGAAAAGAGCAAUUGGAAGAAAGAGGGGGAAGGGAAGGGAAUAGCAGUGAUUAAGCCAGCAUUGUUCUGUGUGGAUCGGGGCUGCCUGCUAUUGUUUUCCAGCACUUGAAGAUGAAACAUAUUCAUUUAGCUUUCAGGACGAAUGGCUUUAAUAAGGGCAGAGCCGAGAGGUGGGGUAACACUGAUGACUAGAGAGACCCAUCAAGGCUCCCCCUAAGGCCAUUCUGUCAGUGCCCAGGACCACAUGACCAUUAACUCUGCAAUCAGGACAAGUUUUCAACAUUCCGGGGUAUCCUUCAAUGGCAGCAAGAGUCAUUUGGAGUCAAGGGAAGAUGUAUAUCAGCAGUAAUUGGAUUCCAGCCAAGGCUCUAGGACAGUAUUAUCUAUGGUGAGAGGAUCGAGAGGGGUGCACAGAGCCAAGAGGGUGUGAGGCAAGGCAAGCCACAGCCAGGAGAGCAGCAGCCACUGGAGGCCACAGGCUGGCCACACAGAGUGGCUGGUCUGCCCAGGAGUCACCGAAGCCUGGCUGUGGGUGCCAGUGAUUCUCCCCUUCUGGCAGAAACUGGUUUCUGAAUAUCCUGCAAGACAAAACUUGGGGUUCACCAGAUGGGGCUGCCCAGGUAACACUUGGCCAGACAAAGCCAGUUUUAAGGCCUGAAAGUGCCCCAUUGAGCAUCUUCCCACUGCUGCCCCCAGCUCCUCCCUACACCCUGACUACUUCAUUACAAUCUGCCUUCAGGCCGGAAUUGCCCUGCUUAAGCCUCAAAUCAUUAUAAUUACCAUUAUUAGAAAUAGCUGCGGGGGAGGCGUUGGAACACCAAGUAAAAAUGUGUGAGUGUGUCCGCUGGCCGUGGAAUCACUCCUUUUGGGCUCCGGGAACCACAAGGCAGGAGGGUUCCACCAAAGCCAGCUAAUGCGACGGCUGUCAGCUCCACUCACCCCACCUGUCAAGAGGGGGAUGCGGUGGGGUUCAUUUUUUUAAUUGACACCUUCCUCUCUCAUUCCACGCUCUCUCGUCUCAACCUAAUUCCUCCUUUUAUCUUCCCUCUUUUCUCUGAGAAAAAUUCAUUCCCCUGCUACCCGAAUAAAGAGAAAGGAAAAAGCCACACGAAGAACAGCAGCCUAUAUAUUAUCCUCCAGAAAAUACACAGAUCCUAACAAAGGCACAAGUCAGGAAGUGCACCCAAAGUCAGAAAAAUAAUUGUCAACUGAAUCUGAGGCAGACGAGAUGGACAGGUGGAGGAGAGAGACAUAGAAAGAAAGGCCGGUAAAGCAGAGUGGAAAGAAAAGAGAAAAUCUGGUGCAAAAAUCAGAGGGAGAGAAGAAAUGGGGCCAAGACUGUGUUUCCCACUCUCGCUCACUUUCUAGUCCUGUAAGUGAAGCCUUCAGUUUUAGUCUAUUGACAGCAAACAGAGCGGGAAUGUGGGGGAGCCAAAAAACAGACAGCAGGUGAAUGCCCUUGGUUUCCAGCUCCUGAGAAAUGCUUUCUGUAGGCAUUCAGGAGGGACUGCAGGGCAAAAUGGGAUGUGAUGCCCCUGACAGAUUCAAGGGGGUGAAGGAGAAAGGUGUGUGUCCAUGUGGAUUCGCCCCCACAUUGGUGCCUGAACGCCUCCCGUCCUGACCUCUAGCAGUCCUGAGAAAUCUACCCACGAUGUGUUUUCUCAACACCUGAUGGCAGAAGCCAGUGAGGGAAGCUUCCAUGUGCCGCUGGCAGGAAAACUCCUCAGGUCUCUGCAUGAUCAUUUAUUUGAAGUCACAUUGACGUGAAGUACAUCUGAUGUCAAUAGUACUUAAACUGGGUCAGUCCCCUAAAUUAGGAUGAGAUUAGGAAAAUCAGAAUUGUUUAGUAUUGUUAUCUGUCGAUUUUUGUUUUUAUUUUUGAUCAAGUGGAGAAAAAAUUUAUGUAAGUAGAUGCACCUACAUUAUGUAUAUAGUUUGAUGAGUUUUGACAAAUAGAUGCUUUCCUCUCCCCAACACCACCCUAAUCCUACCGAAAGAUUCUCUCUUGCUCUUUAGCAGUCCAGCCUCCAGCACCAUCCCUGACGCCUGGUAAGCAUUCCUCUGGCUUUCCGUGGCUAAAAUUUUAUUCUAUUAAUGAAACUAUACAGAAUGUAGUCUUUUGUGUCAGGUUUCUUAUAUAUAAUCAUAUAUAAAAUAUAUAUUAUAUUACAAUUUGUAUACACACUUCUAAAAUGUAAUCUAAAAAAUAUUCUGAGAUGCAUUUACAUUUUUGCUUGGUUUAACAUUUCCUUUUUGUUGUGCACUACUGUUUCAUUGUGGAAAUCUAUUUCAAUUUGUUUAUCCAUUCAUCCAUUGAUGGACAUUUGGAUCAUUUACACUGUGGAGUUUUUGUGUUUUUAUUUUUUUAACUUUGAUUUUAUUUGAUAGGCAAAGAGAUAGAAACAGAGCUCUUUCAUCUGCUAAUUCUCUUCCCCAGCUGCUCGCAAGAGCUAGGGCUGAGCCAGACUGAAGCUGGGAAGUCAGAACUCAAUCCAGGUCUCCCACCUGAGUCGCAAAGAUCCAAGUACUUGAGGCCUCAUCUGCUACCUCUCAGGGUGUGCAUUAGCAGGAAGCUGGACUUGGAAGGGAAGCCAGUACUCAAACCCAAGCACUGAGAUAUGGGAUGUGGGUGUCCCAAGCAGCCUCUUAAAUUGCUACUCCAAACACCCUCCCCAGAGAUUGGAGUCAUUGUAAACGAGGCUACCAUGAACAUUUGUGUGAAACUCUGUGUAUGGCAACUAUUUUCAUUUCUGUUGGGUAACUACAUAUGACUUAUUUCCCUAGUCAUAUAGUAACUAUAGAUUUAACUUCACAACAAAUUACCAAACUGUUUUCCAAAGUGGUUAUACCGCUUGUUCUUGAGACCAGAACCUUUCCACACAGGACAAAUGCACUGUGAUGUGGUAUACAGUUAUAGAAAUAGAUAUGGGCAUCAUAUUUGUUUUUUUGUGUGCUAUAAAGGUGAUUUGUCCUCAAAUUAAAAAAAUAAUAAAAAUUAUGGGUUUGUGGUGUACUGAGUAAAGUUUGAGCCUCUGACACUGGCAUCCAUAUGGGAACCGGUUCAAGUCUCAGCUGCUGCACUUCCAAUCCAGCUCCCUGCUAAUGUGCCCAGGAAAGCAGUGGCAGAUGGCCUAAGUGCUUGAGUCCUUGCACCAGUAUGGUAGACUAGGAAGAAGCUCCUGACUGCUGGCUUCUGUCUAGCCCAGCCCUGGCUGUUGUGGCCAUUUGAAGGUGAACCAGUGGAUAGAUGAUCAAUCUCUCUCUCCCUCUCUUAACUCUGCCUGUGAAAUCAAUAAAAUAAAUCUUAAAAAACAAAUUAUUCUAUUUAAUUAGCAUUAGAAUAAAACCUUUCUUAAGAACUACAAAAUGGAAUGGUUAGUUCAUCUAAUUGAAUUGUGCAGUAUGAGUUUUAAGGAAACAAAACCACAGCUAUGCUAUUUGGUUACCCGUCCUAAUUUCUCCACCUUUAUACUUGAGUUCACCCUAUCCAAGAAACCUUCCCUAAAUAUUGCCACCUCACUUCUCAUUCCUUCCAUCCCUAUUUUUUAUGUAAAUUUUACUGCUAGGUAAGCCAAUUUGGAUACCUUUGUGGCUACUGGGUUAUUUCUAGUUGGUGUGAUGCCUGGUCUCCUUAGUGAGACCAAUUUUGCUAUAGUCUCCUUAUAACCUGGGGUAUGUUUUCUUCUCUUUAGUUAUCGUGCUACUUUACAGGGCUAUGUACACUAUAGGCACUGAAUAAAUUCUUCGAAUAUGUGAGCCUCGUCCCCAGGAGCUAUAGUUUAAAAACUCACUAGCACUCUCUUUCAAAGGUAACAUAUCUUAAACAGCAUGUCAGGAUUCCCCUGGUGUACACCAGUCCUAGACACACACUCACAUGCAGUUCAGUCUGUGUGUCCAUGACUGUGUAACAUCCCACCUACUCAAGUGCCGUAAGCGGUCUCCACCUGCAGCCCCUGCCUUGGAGUAAAUAAUCAUGUGAGAAAGCUCCAGGAAUAUUCGGUUGUGGGUUUUAUUUUUCCACCUUGGCUGCCGGUGUGUUACCUAGCAGGCUGUAUUCUACACAGUGCUUGGUUCUCUCUCCCAGCUUGUGGUAAGCUAAAUUAUUCCAAGAUUCAAUGAAUACCUGCUAUUGAGCGGCUUCCCUAACCACCCAAACUGGUCUUUUGUUAGUGGUUAUUGAGAGGAUUGUCACAGCCAUUGACCUACUCAAUUUUACUUCAAAAGAAAUGAGCAUUUUUCUUCCCCUUUCAUUUCUAAAAGCAGAUAUGGCAAUUUGCUUAAAUUGCUGUCUUUAAAAGUUUAGAUGAUUAUACUUUUUCCCCCUCUUGCCUUUUUUCUUCCUUUUCAUUUAAGCAGCACAGUGCCGUCUCUUUUUCUGGGAUUGGACACAGUUCCCGGUGUAGCGUUUUUGAAACAGCUCUGUGUGUGUGUGUGUGUGUGUGUGUGUCCUUAUACAUCCACUUACCUGAGAUCUCAGAGACAAAAUAAGAUCUUCUUAAACUAUAUGAGUAAAAUUUCACAUUUAAAUUCAAGCAUCCAUUUUGUCUAAGUCAGAAUGAUGGAAAUUUGCAGCUAAAAAAAGUUUUUAAAUAAAAUUAAAAUGUGUUUACUGGAAAGUCUCCAUUUCUUGGUGGAAGACAUGAUAGCAGCCAGCCUCAUAAACUUAGGAGAAAUAGGCAAGAUGGGUAUGUCUUAAAGAUUCUUCUGUAUGAGGAAUAAAUGGAAUUUGAUGAAAAUGUGGAGAGAAGAGGUAAAAGGGAGGUAAUGUAUGGAUGUGUGUUUAUAUUUACAUUAAUAAAGGGCUAUUUUCCCCUCAAGGCAAAGUAUUGUGAGACACAUUUUUCUAAGACAUAGUAGAGACAUUGGUCAGUAGUCCUUGUAACUAUUUGAUAUUCGUGGUGUAAAGACCACAUCUCUGGAACAUGGGGAAGCAAUCUUUGGUCUCAGUGGUCCUAUAGUGAUUCAGAAUUCAUACAAUUCAGAUUAUGCCCUUACCAUUCCAAUGGAUGCUGAACAGAUAGAUUAUGAAUUGCAAUUUCUAUUAACAAGCAGCCUCUCAAAGCAUCUAGAAAGUAUUGUAUGAGUAAGAUAUAUUUCAUGUCCAGGAGUAACAGAAUGAAUGUGUCCAGGAUCAUAUGAUCUUUUGCCCCAGUCAUUUAAAUAUAGUACCUGUUCAAAGAAGUGACUACAGAAAUGAAUCAUGUGUCCCUUUGUUUGUGCUGGUGGGAUGGUGGCCAGACUUUCAUUUUCACUACUCUGCUGUAAUAAAUCGUAGGAGUUUUUUAAUAAGUCCCCUGGCCAUCAUUGUGGUUAUGAUCUGUAGAUGAAGACAACGUGUGUUGAGACUGGUGUCCUAGGAGGUGAGUUGGUGUAUGUGUUGUGUGUGUGCGUGCAUGCAUGUGCUCACACACACACAUGUGUGCACGCGUGCACACACACACACACACACACACACUUGAUUUAUGGACCACUGAAGCUGCAAUGAAGUACUAGAGUGAAAAUCACCAACUUUAACAGUGAAAAAAAUGUCGACAUCAAUUCCAAAAGAGACUUGAAAACCUGCAGCUAACAGCCAAUGGUUGAAUUCUUUUAAGGUAGAAAUUUCUUCAACCUUUCUCAGUGAAAUUAUAUUCCAUCUGGAAAAUUACAAAUUUCUGGGCAAGAAGCAAACUUAGAGUUGGGGAGUUUUUCAUGUAACAGCCAAAUAAGAAAUUCCCACUUCUGAAUGUCUGUCUUCCAAGAAUUCUUGACAACAAGGAUUUCUUUCUUAUUCGUGGUGCAGUGGGUUCUAGAAAAAUACCAGAAUAAAGAAACCCACCGAUAUUUUAUUCUAUGUAAGGCAAGGGGAGAAAAGCCCUCAACUACAAGGAAUGAAUAUUACUAUGGCUUGGAAGGCCCAUCACAUAUUCAACAUUAAGGAUCAGAAAACUGGAUUUCCAGUAUAGGAGUAGACUCACUUUAGAUAAAUAACCAACCAACCACAUAAAUAAAUGACACAGUGAUGGUAAUAAAUAGGUAAUAGCCCAGCUAUCCACUUAAGGAAACUGCUAUAUAAAAACAGAUCAUUUUUACCUAAUUUGGUCUAACCUAACCUUGACUUUUAGAAAAAUAAAUACAGAGAUAUAUAGCUUGACCCAAAAAAGACCACAUGAAGACGAAUUUUACUAAAUUUGGAUAUAUACAGAAUAGAAGUUAACAGUCCUGGUCAGCUUGCUGUUUGAAAAUGCUAGAGACAUGGUUUCUAAAAGGAACUGUAGGGCCUUUGACAGUGAUGAAUGUGAAAUAGUAAUGAAUAACUUCAUAAUAGAGCAGAGAUGUCAUGGCUUUGCAUACUCGGUACUGGACAAAAGCAGUGACACAAAGCUUUGACUUCAAUCAUAUGUUCCUCUCUCCUUCAAUAGGGUCAGUCCCUGGCAACCAGCAAUGUUAGCCAGAGAAGAAGUUUCCUGCAGGCCAGGCACAGGGGUAGAGCACAGCCAGAGAAACCCAGCCAGCCUGGAGAAGGUGUCUAGGUUGUGUAUUCGCUGCUGCAUUCCCUCACAUCCAAUCAAUGGCAACAUAAUAAGAUGGCCAUGAUGUUAGUAAUAUUUAUUACUGUGAUAACAAAAUUGAUAAGGGUUCUAUUGAUCUAUUUUGUUCAUUUCCUUUCUUCACUGCAUGGUCUUAGAGUCUGGCCCUCCCUUAUAUAAACAAGGCAUCCUCAGAACUCAGGAAUCCAGCAUUUCUAGCCUUGCCAUCCUCUAGUUUGGUCUUUUGUUUGAAUACUUGCUUCCCUCUGUUGCUGUUGUAAGUGGCAUGUAAUCUGACUUGUACUUUUGCAUAACCACAUAUACUACAUACCUUAGAAUUUAUUAGAUGCUAUUCAAGAGACUAUGCAUCAUUGUUCAUGAAUGUUUCCAAAAUCAAUUCCAAGGAAAUCUAGGAUUUUGUUCAUGUACCAGUACUGUAUCACUUAGGAUUAGUUCUGUCUACUAGUGACAUUAAAAAAAAAAAAAUUUGGUGGCUUGAACAAUGUCUCAUGGAUUACAGUUCCUAGGUGUGUCAUCAGAGAACCAGAGCCUUAGAAAGGCAUUAUUCUGCAUUUAGUUUUGAUCCUGAAGUCGUUCCAUAGUUUAGCAUUACUGCUGGGUUUCCAACUAGCAGAUCACUGUUCCAAAGAAGAAGAGAGAAAGAACUGAGAGAGCUAAAAUGGCCGUAAUCUUUUCUGAAUUGGUUCCUCUUAAAUAACCUUCUUAAAACUAGUUUUCAGCACUUCUACAUACGUGCAAUUGUACAGAAUUUGAUCCCAUGACCACUCCUAGCUGUGAUGGAGACUGAGCAAUGUAGUCAUGUAUCUGAACAUAUUAUCCAAAUAAAAUGGAUUUCAGUUUCUAGGGAGGAAAGGUAGAUGGAUAUUGGAUAGGUACCUAGAUGUCUGAUGGGAUAUUGUAGACACAUUUGAAUAAUCUUGAUAUUCCAUUUCAUAUUGUCCUGCAGUACCAAGAGCUACACCAGGAGGUACAAUCAUAGUACAUGAGAGACCAAUGGCAAAAUUUCAGGGUUACCACAAGACACAGGUAAACCUUGACCAGUUGUUAGGUACAAGGAAGUUAGAAUCAGGAAUUCAAAUUAUGUGUUUGACUCAAAUGAAGACUGUAUUUCCUAAGUUUAUUUCUAGCUUUAUCUCUAUAAAACAUUGGAAGAAUCUCUUAUUCCCUAGUUCCUUACUACCUUACAAACGGAUUUAGAUAUCCAAGAUUUUCCUAUUUAUUGCUGAACAAUUUCUAACCAUGUAGGUUAGAUGUGUCCAAUGAGCACACAUGAUGGAGCAGAGCCCCUCUGGUGGUGAAGUACAGUAACACUCAUGGUUGUCCUGGCAUGCUUGCAUUGCCUCCAUGGGGUACCCAGUGCAUUUGGCUGCACCAUUCCCAUGAGAGCCCCUCCAAUCCUGUCAACUCAGCGUUGGAAUCUCAUCUAUGGGAAAACAUCCUGAUCUGGCUGGAUUCCUUCUGCAUUCCCAGGGUCUGUAACACAUAGUAGUUGCCCAAGAAACAGUUUCUCCUCACUCUCCUAAGGACACUGGGUGCUCCAGGUGGCAUCUGUGGAUUUUGCUCUAGGGAGCCAUUAUUGAUCUGGAGGUAGUCGAUAGGUAGAUUGUCUGAGGACAUUUUAAGUAAAAAUCUUAGAUAGGUUCCCAAAUAGUAUUUGAGGUAUCUGGGCUAGUAUCCCAUCUAAGAAGGUGUGUGAGUGCCAGGGGAGGAAGGGAAGAGAUAGCUUCCUGGCUGGUUACCUGUCAUCUGCCAGACAGUAUUCCAAGCAAUAACAACAAACUUCCAAGAUAACAUUUUUAUUUUCUGCUCUGAACUUGCAAGGUAAUAUGUCUAUUCUCAUUUUUUAAGAUGGGGAAACUGAGUCCGAGAGAUGAAGGAAGUUGCUUAAGGUUGCAAAUCUAAUGAGUGGCAAAGCUAACAGUAAAAUCCAUAUAUUUCUACUCUGCCAUGUUUACUCUCCCUCUCCAAGGAAAAAUGUCAAUGCAGAAAACUUAAACUUUACAGUGAAAAAUAGAAGGAAAACAUGGACCACAGAUUGAGCAAUGGCCUGGAAAUGAGAAUGACUGAAUUCUGUCUCUUCCGACGCUGCCCUGGGACUUUUCUUUAUCAACCCAGACUGUGUGUAUGAAAUGCUUUAUAAAGGAUGGAGCCCUGUACAAAUGACACUUCAUCUUAACAACAACUGUUGUGUCUACAUCUCCAUUUCUGCCCUGCCAAAAUUGGGCUGGUUUUAUUGUUUCUUCAUUAAAAUGCUGUAAUGAUUGAUACAUUGGAAAGUGCUCAUAGAACUACAAAUAAGGUGCCUUUUAAGCAUCACCACGUGUCAACACAGUAACUUUGUCAAGUGAUUUGGGAUCUUCUAAUUGAAUUGUGUCAUCUAAAUUUAUAGCAUCAAAGAAAGUAGUAGUAAUAGUAACAAUAUCAGUUCAAUAGUAAUUAGUAAUAAACCUAGUCAACCAGCUACAGACUGAGCCAAAUCUUCUAAGCAUUUUCUGCCAAAGAGAAUUUACUCCUGCUAGGAAGUGUCUAAUAAGGACAUUAACAGAGUGAGAGCCCAUCUGUGAUAAGACCUUUCCAAGAGCCUUCAGAAAAGUCUCUUAAUGAAUUCUGCUGCUUGCCUUCAUAGAUGCACGUGCAACUGAAAGUAACUAGUGCUGUAUUCCUGAGUUACAUGCUCCUCCACACAUUCUAAUUUCCCAGUGCAGCCAGAGUUAACAUGAUUGAGUCCUGUGCUGCAAAGACUCCUCCCCAUUGGCUCCUUCAUGUAUGGUGAAUGUCAGAAGCACACAGUUGGUCACUAAUCCAUUGUUCAUACCUAGUCCUUGAAAUCCUCCAAAGAAACGCACAUUUUAUAUCAGACCAAGGGAAUAUAUAUAUAUAUAUAUACACUAUAUAGUAUAUAUAGUAUAUGUAUGUAUAUAUAUAUAUGUAUGUGUAUAUAUAUAUAUAUAGUUUUAAGUGACCAUCCUAAAUACUUUGAAAUAAAGUGUUAAAUUAAUAUUUAUGUCACCAAAGAAAAGCUAGAAAAGUCAAUUUUUAGGUUUCAGAAGUAUGCUGACAGGCUGGUGUUGUGGCACAGUGGGCUGCAGUGCCAGCAUCCCAUAGUGGUGCUGGUUCAAGUCCAGGCUGCUCCACUUCGAGUCUAGCUCUCCCUGCUAAUGCACCUGGGAAAGCAGUGGAAGAUGGCCCAAGUCCUUGGGCCCCUGAACCCACAUGGGAGACCUGGAGGAAGCUCCUGGCUCCUGGCUUUGGAUCAGCUUAGCUCCGGCCAUUGUGGCCAUUUGGGGAGUGAACCAGCGAAUGGAAGACUGCUCUUUCUCUGUCGCUCCCUCACCCUCUCCCUCUCCCUCUAACUCUUUCAAAUAAAUAAAUUUAAAAAGUAUGCUGAAGUGUAUUUGCUGUAUUUGGUUUCUUGGUCAUUUAAGAGGUUCAGAGGGGAUCGUAUAGUCAUAGUAAGCCCUGCAUUCACAAGUCUUAGUCUUUUAGCAUGGAAUGUAUAGGUCAAAAUGGUAACAAGUAGGAAACCUUGCCAUGGAACUUGAGAAAGUUAUAGAGGCUCGUCCUUUUGGUCCUAAGCUGUUGGUGCCUGCAGUCUCUCCAACCCUCUUUUGGGACAGCAGCAGUUUUGCAUUGCUUUUAGCUGAGUGACCUCAACUGUUUUGAGUGCUCUAGGAUCCUCCAGGUUUCCCAGGAGUCCAUGGGGAUCAAAACGAGGGUGAGGGCUAGCGUGGGAGCUCUUACACAAUCCCACUGUGCUGCUGGAGUAGAAACACCUGGGUCUCUUUCGGUCCAUAUUGGGCUCCUAAGUAAUCCUGAGAAAGGAUUUCGUUUCUCACAGUGUUCUUUGGAAGAACUCAUUCGAUGUUGUCACUUCAUUCUCUCUGGUCUCUGAGAUUGCUUUGUUCCCAUUGUGCAGAUGAGGACCGAGGUUCAUACCAGUUAAGUGAGUUUCCAGAAAUAAUCCAACUCAUACGUUACUGUGCACCUGCUGUAAUUCUGACUACAUUUGCUUUAUUAACCACUAAAUACAGCUAACUCCUUUUUCCAGAUUGAAAAUAUCAGUAAUUUUAGGAAUGCUUUUUUUUUGCUUCUUUUUAAAACAAGUUCAAGUUCCUGUAUUUGUUACAAUUCAAGUACUGUAUUUGUUACUAUGCUACUUAAGUAAAUAUUUACAUAUGUAUUAGUCAUAUAUGUAUGUGUGUGUAUAUAUGUACCAGAGUGCUUCAAAAAGUUUGUGGAAAAUGAAGUGUAAAGAUAAGUUUAUUAUGAUGUGAUGCAGAAAAUGUUCAUAAAACAAUGAAUACUGUGAAAAAUUAUGUGUGGACUUAAAUAAUUUUUGCUCCCAAAUAAAUUUGUCUUUUCAUUCCAUUUUUCAUUAACUUUUUUGAAGCACCAUGAUGAGGACAGGGGCCCAUUUUAUAUAGCACAUAUUUCACAGUACAAGGUUGGAUUGGAUUGAAGCUGUUCACCAGAAAUAAGUUUGGUCAUAUUUUAUUCUUGGUAUAUUAUGGGUGGAAUAUUACAAUUCAUUUUGUGGUGUUUUUUUUUGGGGGGGGGGACCGUAAUUUGUGUAUUGUAAACAUUAGAAUAGCCACAGGCUUUGUGUGACCUUAAGUAUGUAACCAACCCUCUUGGAAAUCGUGAAUGACCUUUUGAACUGGAAAUGAAAGCAUUUACGUUUCCACCUGAAGAGGGGACAAAGCAGAAUUUUGUUUGCUGUAUCUUGGGCCUAAGAUUCGAGCAAUUAUGAAAUCAUUAGUAAUCCUCUGAAUAUAGAAAUUUGCUGGACAUUGGUGAUGCUUAGGAAUCCUAGGACUUGUUGUGAGGUGCAGUGAUACCAAGGCAUUAGCCACCUGUGUAUGCAUGAGAGGAUUGGGUCUACCCUGGAGGCAUACUGGGCUAGAGAGGUUUAGCGUUUUGUUUAGAUUGGAGGUUGAGAGCUGGAAGAUGAAGUUUACAAAUCACAACAGUAAUGUUUCUUGCUUCACUUCCUCAUAUGUACACAGAAACGUAUUAAAAUGGUGUAUGCUAAGAUACCUCUGUAAAAGUCCUACUCACUAUUCUACCUGUGGGCACCAUUCACUUGCUCCCCCAACCCAGUUUGUUUGUUCAGCAAAGCAAAGGUGCUGCUGAUUUUGCAGACAGACUAGCAAGCUUGAGAUGCAAAAUGUUAAACCUGAAAGCUUCCGGUCCUUUAUUUAAAAGCAUAAGAUAGAGAUCAUAUCACACCAGUAAUCGUAAUGGUAGGAUGUCAAGAGAGAGAGUGAGUGUGUGUGUGUGUAUCCCUGUCUAGGCUAAGCAGGAAAGCUAGUUCAUUGGGGUUCAACUGACUUUUGUUGCUUCAUGUUUCCUGCUGGCUUGUAGAAGCAGUCAUGUGGAUCAGAGGACAGGCUGAGAGAUAAUUAAGUGGAAAUACGAACUCUAUAUCAGGCCUCUUUGGAAAGAGGUAGCAAACCUUUCUAAUCAAUUCUGAUUCCUUCUGGCUUUGUUGCCCAAGGUCAGCUGAACAGUCAUUAGGGGAGGUCCCGGCAGGCUCCGUGCUCUCCAUCAUCUAAGGUUAAAUAAUACGUCAUUAAAAGGGUCAAUCAGAAAGGAGCAGAUUCUUCCCCUAUGAGUCACCUAUUUUGCAGAAACCUCUGGUUUCUUGGAAUUUGUGUCACAAAUUUCAAAUCUCACCACAGAGAUGCUCAUGUAUAUAUUUGGCUGCAUUCAGAGCCAGCACUCGUGGAGUGCUGGUGAGAAUGAGAGUCUUGGUUAUGGAGAACGAAUGUACAAGGCAUCCAUCCCUCACUGCUUCUCUACAGCAACCUCAACAAGUGCAUGGACAGUUACAUUAAAAUAUAAGCUCAUUUGGGUGCAAAAGAAUUUACCACCUGUGCAUACAAGGGGUCCUCACAAAGCUUAUGGGAAAGGCAUGUAUGAAAAAUUGGUACAUGGAGUUUGAAAAUUUUUGGCACCAAAAUAAACUGAUUUUUUAAUUGCAUUUUCCCCAAUCAUGUUGAUGGACUCUCUUAAAAUGAGAAGCAAGAUCAGUAUGCUGUAUCACAUUAGAUCUUGAAUGAGGAUGUGGAAAUGGCACCCUAACCCUAGGAUGUCAUAGGGGUAGGGGGUGGUGAGUGUUGGAGAAGAGUGGAGGAAAUCUUCCUCUUCUUCAAGAUGAGAUCAGAAAUAUGAGGGGAAAACCAAGAAGAACAGGCUCACAGCUCUAGAGGAGGUUUGGUGAUGGCAUAUUCUUCUACCUUGACAUUGCUGCGUAAACCUCACUCCAAGACGGGAAACUGCUCAAGCCACUGAAAGUAGGCAAAAGCAACACAACGAACGCUCUUCCUUCUCUGUGAUCAUCUGGACAAUAUAAAAACAUUACAGAAAGUUUGGAAAACAAAGGGAAGAAAAUUUCUGAUAGCUCUGUUUCCCCAAUACGGCCUCUCAUUGCAUGUUUCUAAAUACCCCCUUUCAGUUUCUAUCUUGGAAGGGUAAAUGCUACUCUUAAUAGUUACUUUUAACAACUGCCUAAUAUUCCUCAGAUAGAGUUUUAAGUGCCAUAUCUCUAGAGGUGGGUGAGAGUAAUGAUGAGUAUUAUUUAUUAUCAGUUAGUCUGGGCACACACACACAGGGAGAAAAUGAUAAAUUUCAGUGUUCUUCUUCAAAUCUUGCCACCUACUGUUAGCAGAUACCAGUGAGAUGAAAAUACAUAUUCAGGUGUUUGGUUGUAAGUCGCUGGAGACUUUUGGUCGAUAUGCUAGCAAAGCUCCUGUCUUUACCACAUCAAAAACCUUGUGGAAGAACAGUAGCUGGGGAUGAUUGGAUGGAUGGCAGGGAGCAAGGGAGAGAGAGGAGGAGAAAAUUAAUUUGACCUUGAUGGAAGCACAAAUACAGAGUUUAGGAGAACUAGAACUAUGGACCCAACGGCCAGUAUAGAAGGUCCACCCUGUCUGGUGGGUGACAGCUGUCACCUUAUGGUUCAGAACUAUGUGAGAAUCUGGCUUUGGAUGAGCUUUUUACUCUAUAUAAAAAGUUAGGAAUUUAACAAAGACAUUACUGAAUAGGGGGAAACGUAUAUUAAUUUUUUUAAUUAAAAUAUUUCAUCUAUUUAAAAAAUAAUCCUCCAGGUGGAGUAAGAACUACAAUAAAGCCAUUAUUGUGUUUGUACUUCUCUAAAGUGUCACUGAAAAGGAGACUUCACAUUGAGGACAGGGUGUUGUUUGUAUGUGAAUGUGUGUGUGUGUGUGUGUGUGUGUGCGUGCAUGCACAUACAUUUCUGGAGUGCUCAUUUCAAAGUGUGCGGCAGCCUUUCUUACUGAAAUGCAUGUCUGUGUGUCUUUGUAUGUGUGUGAAAUAUCUGAGAAUGCAGUAUUUAGACCCCAUUAGUAAGGGUAAAAAUGUACAGAUAAACUAUAUCAUUUAUGGUUACGAUAUGGCUACUGUCAAAAUAACAUGCUAUUUUGACAGUUGCUUUAUCUUUACUCUCACUGAGUCUACAAUAAGAAACUAGUUUCUUAGCAACUAAAAUAUAUUCUCAAACAAGAGCAUUUAAAAAAUAAAGAAAAAAGACCACAAAAGAAAAAAUACAGCGGUAGCUGACGCCUGGGCAAACUAUUCCUGUUGGGUGGGAAUGAAAUUGAUCAGAACCAGCAUGAUGUCCUCUUGCUUGUCCAGCUGCCCCUGGCCAGGAGCAAGGGCAAGGCAGCGAUUUCUCACAGAACAUGAAGACUGGAACAGGGGGUAGCUGGCAGGAGGCUUGGGAAAGACUUUCAUUGUCCUUAUUCAUCUGUGUCUUAAUCUCUUCUUUUAUCCUCCUUAACUUUUCCUUAGGUUGCAUGCUAAGCUAGAAAGUUCUGUAAGAACUGGUGCUUAAGACCUGGCACAGAAAAUCAGCAUGCAGAUUUGUCUUUCCUGUGACUUGCAGCCAGUGGCUCAGAUGCAUACAUCACCGUCCAGCUGAAAUGAUAGGGAUAGAGGACGGGCACCCUCCUUCCAGGGAGGGCUACAAAGGUCAAAGCUAUUCUUAUCAUAAUAUUAUAUGGUAUUUGCUUUUCUCACGCUCACUGUUUCAUGAGUGUCCAGUGGAGUUUUCCAGGGGCUAUGUGAUGUGUGAUACUGCACAGACUAAGUACAGAGACAAAAAUGAGAACCCAGCUGUCUUCUAUUAAGACAGACCUUAAAAAGAUUUGCAGAAAUGUAAAACAAACCUGCUCUUUUCACUCAUAAUUUUGUUUCAGAGAUACUAUUUUUAAUAAAAAUGUGUUAUUUAUGUGAUAGGUUUAUUGACUUGAAAUGAAUUGAUAAACAUUUAAGAAUUUCUUAGUUUUAAAUUUCUAAUAAAGUAAAUAGUGAUAGAUAUAGCUUAUAUAAACAAGACCUUUUUGGAGUCCUUAGUCAUUUUUAAGAGAAUAAAGGGGCCUCAGACUGCAAAUGUUUGAGAAACACUGUAACAACAAACUGAUAGUCCAUACCUGUGUGUCAUUUGUGGGUUUGGCAGUCAGCAAUAUCAUUUCCCAUUGAAUGCUGUGGGGGUUUUCAUAGUGGCUCCUGAGCAAUCAGCAAGUUAGAGAACUCGGGCAGUUAGUGUGUAAAUUUAGCCCCCUUUAAUUUUGGUGUCUACCCUCAGCAUUUGGACAUCCAGAAAAUAGCGACUCAGCUCUUCAGAAAGAUACCCACCUCUCCUAUAAUUUUUCUUUUCUUUGCUGUUGCCAUGGGAAAAUUCAUGCCUGGGGACACCUGGCUUCAGGUCUGUGGCUGCUACCCUACAGAGCACCAGGAGUCAGACUGCCAUCCAAAACGAGAUCUGAGAAGUAAGACAUAGGGGAGAACGCAGGAUGCCGAAGGAGGAGAGGGGGGAAUUGUUAAUUAAGCUCUAUUAAAUAUUAAUUGAAAUAUAAAUUCCAAACCUCACCAACUCCUGACAGUUCUGUAAUCUAAUUAAGUGGUGGGGCCUGUUGUCCCCCAGUGUCAUCGGGUAUAUUAGGGGAAUAAAGUGAUCUUCUGUUCAUAAACACCAGGAAGGCUUUAUUAAUCCAGGGCCUUCGCCAGUCAAGUGGCUGGGAAAGUCAGCCAUGAGAAUGCCUUUAUGGGAAAUGGAGAAAUAGGGAGGCAGAUUCCAUGUGGAUGUGACUGCAGUGAGUCAGCUGCAAGGAUCCACGUGUAGUCCCUAUGACACGGCCUCUGUGGUUCAGGAAGGAGAGCCGGGGUGCUCAGUUGCCGUUGCACCACUGCGUUAUCUUUUCUGCUUGGAAAAUGCAUGGCAAAUCCCUGGGACCAGUUUCAGUUCUAUAAACCACCUGUGUGUAUGUGUGUAUGUGUGUGUGUGUGUGUGAGCAUAAAAAUUUCAAGAGAAUACAACUUGAAGGGGGUUGGGACGUGGAUUUGGUUUCUUCCUAGCACAUAGGAGUACAUUUGUGUUUUGGAAAUUUUCUGUUGAUGGUUCUGAUGGGAGAGGAUAAAAAUGAGCAGAGUCCUGUAAAGGCUUGGGGAGAAAAGAGCCCCAGCAUCGGUUCCUUUUCUAGCUCUGGAAAGUUCUUAAUGGAAAGUUAGAAAACAAAGCAAGGCACACAAUAUUGUCUUACUUCUUUCUUCUUUGAAUGAUCUCAUGAUUUCUGCAAAGUGCACAACAUGUGGUCUGAGAUUUUUUUUUUUAGGUGAUGUAACUCAGUUUUGAAAACAAUUACCAUGAGUUAAAUCUGCGACUCUGAGCCUUUAUUUUUGAAAAGCCUCUAGACUGAAGCUUCAUUGUUUUAUCUGGAGGAAAUCAGGAUUAUUUGCACGUUUUCUUUUGUGUAAGAUUUGGUUCGGUGUUAGUUGUUCCCAUUGUUUUGCAGCACGAUUUCUUCAUACCUCCUGGUUUUACAUUACUGCUGGGACCCACGUUUGUGGAUACCGUUUUGGUUUUAGCAAAGGAGUUCCUUGGACUUUAAAUGCAUUUUGCAUGAACAUAUUUGCCCUCAUGCCAUUUGGCCAGACCCAGGUGUGAGCGAGGUGGGCCUGGAGUGCCUCUGACCGGUGUGUCCUUGGUCAUGAGCAUGGAUCUUCCUCCACUGGGCCCACUGUGACUGGCGGGGCUCGGGGGAAAGGUGUGACAGAACUGUGGCGUGCAUUGCUCCGUCACCCGCCGUAUGUUAGCAAUUUUACUGUGGUCUCUUUUAUUUCCUUUUCAGUUUCGGCCAGAACAGUCUCCUAAAGGAAUGUGGAUCAAGGCUCCCGGUGUUGGGAGCAGGAAUAAUACAUCUUGAGCUGCUGCCUCACCCCCUGAAGGUGGCCCGGGCAGCCUUGCAAAGCCCCUGAGAUGAGAGAUUUCUGUUUAGUACAGUUGAGAAGGGCUCCUAGUGCUUGUUUAAAGGGAGUCAAAUAAGGAAAGCAUGUUCCCUUGGCUUGUGGAGGCCCGGGCUUGGGAAAUGUGACUCUCGGCCAGGGUGGAUGGACCAGGUUCGGGAGCCUCCCUGCCGGUCCUGACCUCUUUGUGAGGGCAUGGGACCGCGGCCCUGCUGCCUACGUGCCCCCGCAGGCCUGUGGACGGGAACAGGCGGGGGCUGGGCACCUUGGGAGAACUUGGCAGAGGCCUCCCUGUUCACUUUGGAGCGUUCCUGCUCUCGAAGGCCGCGCUGGAGCGCGGGACUGUGCUGCUGCUGGCGUUUUAGAACAUGAGAAAGAGCCGCAGUAGGAGCCAAGGAUCUGCCAGACUGAGUUGGGAGAACCUUUAUCAUUGCUGUCAGAUACAUCACAACUCGCUUGUCUUACCAUACAUCUUCCUAAAUGUGACAGAAUAUUCAGCUGUUAUUAAUUGAAUACUCUCUAAUUUAACUGCUUAGCGGGAGAAAGAGUGACUGGUUUGUUUCAACACGUAAAACUGGCAUCAACCUGUAUGUGGGUUUCAAUGUGGUUGCAUUUCAGGGCCUGAAAAAAGUGACUGUAUACAGAGAAAUGGCUACCCUACUUUUCAGCAGAGUAACUCGACCCAGUUUAUUGUUCUCAGAGGGAGGGAGAGAUGCACGCAUGUGAGAGAGGUAUAGGUGUUGGGGUCAUGCCGAUGGCUUGAUGGGCACCUUAUACUCCACUAUUGUUUGUGAUGAGUGGGUUGUGGCUUGCAGGCCAGCCCCUCUGAAGUACUUGAACCUCCCUAGAAGGCUCGGUGACGCUGUCGAUCUUUUUCUUUUUAUCUAAAAGCUUAAAAGAAUGCAUGCGGUUACU